GCUCUCUUCAUCAGGUCUUUGCUGUUUUCACCCCAGGUUAGAAUGCAAUAAUUUAUAGGCUCUGGGCAUGCAUUCACACAACCUUUGUGCACGCCAUAAACAAAGGGGGGGAGGAAGUGUCAUAUUGCACUCCGGUUCCGGUGGUCGUCUGUGCUUUAAAAACAUGGUGCGUGAAUCAAUCAAUCGCACGAUAUAGCUCGACUCUGCUGCUGCUCAGAGGGCGGGGCACGCGAUUCCAAGGAGAACCCUAGAUCGCCGCCGCUAUAACCACUAGGAGGCAACCUCUCCCCUUUCUUGCGACCGAAGCGCGGGUGGGGAGGGUGUGUGGAGAGAGAAUCACCCUGCUCUUGAAUGCUCAGAUGGCAGCAUUCAAAGGGGGGCGGGCGAGAGGCGAGAGCGAGCGAGCGAGCGGGGAAUACUGGAAACACGAAGGUGGUGUCAAGAUUCCGCCCGAGGGAGCGCGGCAUUCCGACGCGACGGUCCUGCCGGAUUCCUGGCGAGGACCCAGCCGUGCGUCUCGCGGAGCGCAGGGCGUGAGCGCAAAGAGGCGCUCCCUUCUUUUGGAUGGCGGGCGGGCGGGCGGCUCCCCUUUGCAAAUGUGCCCGGCGGAAUUGCACCAUCGGAGCGGGCUCCCUGCAGGGGGUGGGGACCCGAGGGCGCUUCCUUAAACAGGCACCAGAAGGAGCGGGCGGAGGCAGGCCAGGCACGCCGCGAUCCUCCUUCCUCCUGGGCGGCUGCAGUCGCUGCUGCUGCUGCUGGAUUUGCUGCUGUCGCUGCUGCCGUCGCCCAGCCCUGCCCAGCCCAGCUGCAGCUCGGGCUUCUCUGCAUGUGUCAUCGAACACGUGGGGCUCUUUUUGCGCCGCGGAAACUUUCGAGGGAUACUUGCUUCCAACUUGGACUCGCGCACGGCGACAUCGGAAUGGGGAGGCGCGGGAGAGAGAGAGAGAGAGCUCUUAGAUCUACUGCACCGAUCCAGACGCCUCUUUCCUGGACGUGAUCGCCUCGCUGCCUUCCCUUUCUGCUGGCGCUUGGAAUUGCGCUCCCGCGUCGUGAAACCACGUCUGGACACGCCAACCCGCUUCUUCCUCCCUUGCCCUCUUCUUCACGUGUGGGAAAUGUGGCAUGCGUGUCUUUGGAAGGAAUGGGCUCUGGGUGUUGGGGUUUUGCUGCUGUUUUUUUUUUAGCCUAAGUGGCGAACCUCGCCCUCCCUGCACCUCCCUCCCUUAGUUCCUUCCUGGGUCCGCUUCAUAGUUUCGAGAAGAUCUGGAAGGCCAUGCUAUUGACGGCCAGGAGACCCACUUGGUUUGCUUCCAGCACCCCCGGACCAAAGGUAAGCGGCGAGGGCUGGGGUGGAGGGACAAGAGAGCAACUCCGCCCGCGUGUUUUGCGUGCGCGUGUCAACUUUUCAGCUGCGUGCGCUUCGAGACUAGGCGGUCGCUGUCACCGUUUCCUCGCAGCAGACGGCGAUUGGGGAGACCGGGUCCCUUGCGAAGGGUUGAGCAAUCAAGCUUGCGCACGUUCCGACGACCGGGACGUGAGGAGCCGCGAAUGCCCAGGGCGUGCUCGGCGAACCCGCCGCGGACGCGGGUCCUCCUUUCAGAAUGAAAAGGACACCAACACACGCCCCUCUCGGACUCUGUCGCAAGAGUGCUCUGCUUUGGAGAGCAGCCCGUGCCAAGUCAAUUUCGCCCCGAACGCGUUUCCUAAACAGGGAGGUAGCUAGUUAAAAAUUAACACGCGUUUGAAACAAACCGAAACGAAAACAGAGUUGACCCCCAUAACAUCAGUGAGUUGCGCGCGGCUGGAGUUUGACUCAAGUUCUCCAGAAAUAUCUGGAGUUGGGUCUAUUUGUUUUUCUGGCUUGACUAUCUUUCAAUCAUUAAAAAAAAAAAAAGAACAAAAAUGUCCCAAGCCCUCCUGAAGGUGCGUCACGUGUGAACGAUCGAGCGGCGGGUGAAAUGGGGAGUUUGGGGCUGGGUCUUUGCGGGCGAGAUGAGAAGUUUCUGCCUUCAACUGGCCUACAAAGUCCCAUUUCUCGGCUCCCAAGUCUGCGCUCUUGUCUGCUGCCAACCUGAGGUCCUCUACCCUCAGCGGCUGAAACCUUUAAACGUGGGGAGGUUCCUAAUAUUACAGGCCGGGGUGAGGGGGGGGGGAGAGAUCUACUGCCUCUUUGCAGAUGCAGAUCCCCAAACGAGAUCUCCCCUUGCUUCCCCUCCAAAGCUGGCAAUGGCUUGGCGGGUGUUUCUUCUCCAACCACGCUAACACAGUUUGGGGCAGGGCAUAUUGAUCAAGGACACGAUCCAGUCACCGUGGAGCACUUUUAAGAGCACUUUGGUUUGAGUGAGAAAACUAAGCUGUCUGAUGCCCAGUGGGUUUCCACUGCGCUUCGUUUUGACUCUAGUUUUAGCAAAUGGCCGCAGUUGUAGUGACCGGUUCCAAACCGACACUGAAAUCAGAGAAAGUAUAAGAACAGAUGCCAACAUUUCAGAGGUUACACUUAAAAGGUUUUAAAAAAUAUAUUAAAUUAAACUUGGUCAGAGACCAGACUUGCUUCUUGCCCUGUAAUUUGCUAUUUAAAAUAUUAAGUACAGUACCAACAGAGUGUCGCUGUCAAUUGAAAGUUCGACGUUGUUUUCCGCUGAAACUGAUUUCGCAGGCCCACGCGGAAAGAUAUUUAUGUCUCCUCAAUCUGCAAGUCAUGCUAAUCAAAUCUGGUUUAAGGCCUUCAUCUCUUUACCUAUGCUUUUUUACUCUCUCUUUUAAAGAAACUCUUCUCCAUAUAUAUAUGUAUAUAUAUAUAUAUGAAAAUAGAGAUUAAUUACUGCACAUGUUGCCUCCAUAUAGUUCUUUUGGCUAAAAGCACAAAUCAGCUGAUGAUCUGCACUUUUACGCCCAGAAAAAUUAGGCCAUCGUAACUUUAUAUACUGCCUGCGACAAUGAAUAUCUUUUUGCUUACAUACAUAUAACGUAAGUAUUUUUAAAACGAAAAACCUAAAAUAGUUAAAUUGCUUAUUUUAAAGAUCGUCUUUUUUUUAAGGUUGUCUUUUAUCAUUUCUAUUAAGAACAUAAAGACGACUUUUUAAAAAUAUGUGGCCUGUAUUCAUAAUGAUGGUGGCUGUUUCAUUUAUGUAUGUUUGUGUAUGUGGUGCAAUUUGGAAAAUCUUUUCGCUGAAAUGAAGUUACAGGCAACACUUCAUUGCUAGGGAGCAAAGGGAAAAGCUGAGUCCAUGUGUGUUACGCAGAAGUAAGCCUCUCUGAGUUCAGUAGGGAAUAAGUAAUUGUGCGUACGACAGUAGCAUUUAAAAGUCUCUCUGAAUUUUAACUCUGAAGCAAAAGCUCUAAAUCAUCACAAUUAAUUAUUCUUACCAUAACUAAUGUGGUCAUUAUGGUAUACUUCUCCAAAGUCCCAUGACAUGUAACUUACGUUAUAGCUUGCUCUUUUCUACAUAAACAGGUAGAUAGAUUGAUAAAUAAAUAAAUUUCCUCAGCCUGGGAGUAUUCCCUCACCCCACCCUCCUCUUCAGUUAAAUAUUUCAAAUUCCUGCAGAUUUAUUCUAAAACAAUCUUGAUGAUUUUUCAUUUUCUCCUAUAUCUUUAUGAGCAAUGGGAAAAAAUCCUGGCCCAAUUCCCCCAGAUCUGAACUCGCAUGUUCAGAUUACGCAACCGAUGAAAUUUGUAGCCAGCCUUUGCUAAUUAGAUUUAAUCUGGUGCGUUAUGAAUUCACCCACACCCCAAUUCAUGAAUAAAACAAAAUUAAUGUUUCCCCAGCUUUUUCAAAACUAGUCCUCCUGUUAGGCCUUUGCUUACCGUGUGUGUGCAGCUGUUAAUCUAUUGUAGUCCCACAUAUCUUUGGGUAAAUAUAUAUUUUUUCAACUCCUACGCAGUUCAAGAGAGCCAUUUAUUGUUGUUAUUAUUAUUAUUUGCUAGGAAACGGUUUAUAAAUGUAAAUAAUAAAUAAUAUGAACAAGUUAGUUUGCAAAGGCUUUUAAAAACCCGUUGGGAACUUGGGAUCUGAUAUUAAGAGUGUCCCAUCCUCUGCUCCCCACCAUAAGGCAGAGUUCGAGCCAAAGAGCCAUAAACCUACAGAACGUCCUCUUUAAUUAAGAGACCACCAAUGUGACCUUAAGUGGACACGUUUGGAAGACUAGGCCAUUGAAAUCACAGCAAUUUAUUUCCAAGUGACACUUCGCCUUUAGGAUCAAGGUGCCAGUUUUUGAUCCACAGGCUGGAAUUUAACGUUCUUGUAACGAAAUUAUGCCAAACGAUUCAAAAGCUCUAGGUUCAGGUAGGCAGCCAUUGUUGGUCUGACACAGUCGAAAUAUAUAAAAAAAUUGUUCAGUAGCACCUUAGAGACCAACUAAGUUUGUUCUUGGUACAGUGGUACCUCAGGUUACAUACGCUUCAGGUUACGUACGCUUCAGGUUACACACUCCGCUAACCCAGAAAUAGUGCUUCAGGUUAAGAACUUUGCUUCAGGAUGAGAACAGAAAUCGGACUCCAGCGGCGCAGCAGCAGCAGGAGGCCCCAUCAGCUAAAGUGGUGCUUCAGGUUAAGAACAGUUUCAGGUUAAGAACAGACGUCUGGAACGAAUUAAGUACUUAACCUGAGGUACCACUGUAUAAGCUUUCUUGUGCAGACACACUUCUUCAGAUAACAGAUUCAAAAGCUGAAUUGGAUACAAUUUCUACGCUGUUUCUUUGGGCUCCAUUUUUUUGCAACUGUUUGUUUCAAGUAACUUCUUCUAAGAUACAAACCUUUUACAGUAUAACUUGCCAUUACAGUGGCACCUCUGGUUACAUACGCUUCAGGUUACAGACUCCGCUAACCCAGAAAUAUUACCUCGGGUUAAGAACUUUGCUUCAGGAUGAGAACAGAAAUUGUGCUCCGGCAGCACGGCAGCAGCAGGAGGCCCCACUAGCUAAAGUGGUGCUUCAGGUUAAGAACAGUUUCAGGUUAAGAAUGGACCUCUGGAACGAAUUAAGUACUUAACGCAAGGUACCACUGUAUAUCAUUACCUUUUUCAGAUAAAGAAUGCCAAAUUGCUUUUAAAAAAUUGCCAUAUACCUGGGAGCUGGAUGUGGCGGAUACAUGCUUGGAAGAAAAACUUUAGUCAAUGGGACUUGAUUCUGAGUAAACUGCCACAGAAGGGCAGGCGUAAUUCCAUGCAUUUUUAUUCGGAAACUCCCACCGAGUUCUGUAGGGCAAGAUUCUGUUAGCUGCAUUUAGGCUGCAAUUCUAACCCUCUUGCCUUGAAGUAAACCCCCUCAAAAUUCAACAGGACUUGGGUAGACAUGGUUAAGAUUGUUCUAUUCCUUUGGAAUAAGCCCCACUGAAUUUAUUCAAAAGUUAAUAGGCUGGAAUGACAUUAAAACCAUUGCUAGCUAAUAUAUGUUUUCGUCCAGACCCAGCGAUAUAGGUUUGUUCUUGUUCAGUUGCCUGUCUUGGACAUCACUGGACUGAAAGGCAGCGGGGAAAUUUACUUAAAUAAAUAAAAAUAUAUAAGUUGGAUUUUUUUAAAAAUCCAACUUAUAUACCAAAGGUAAAGCCACUCUGCUCCAGAGUGGUCUGGAAAUCUGUAUCUUAUGAUGUCCCAGACUUAAAUUAUUUCACGCAAGUCAUCUUACAGACUGCAACCCAAACUUAUUUUCAAAGCCGUUAUCGGCAUACUUUAGCGACAUGAUAAAUCUGGUUGAAAUAACGUGUGUUCGCUCAGAGGGUCAAUGCGCAGAGUUGCAUACCGCAAACUUAUUGCAAAAGGGUCGCCUAAUAUGGCCUAUGCAAGGAUACAUUCCAAUGUGUAUGAAAUGUCGACUAUUUCCAUUCACAGGCCCCCAGCCUCUCCCCGUUGUGUGGACUAGGCAUACAGGAAAAUGACAGGGACUUUUGCUGCUGUCCAAAAUAGCCAGACAGCCUCGUAGCAAAAUCGUAAUAAUAAUUUCAACUUUAAAAAAUCUGUUUCUCUUGCUUUCUUUCCCCUGAUUUAAGUUUUGUUGCUUAACGCAUAAGUGUUGCAGAUGUGCAGAAAGGCGGGGUGUGUGUCAGAGAGAAAACAAUACGAACUUGGGACACUGUUGCCGAAACACUUCCAGAAGUGUGGUUUAUAAAUUCUCUUUAAAUCUAUAAGAUUUAACAUUUAUUACAUUAGGAAUUCUGUUUGGUUCAUGCUGUGCUCACAGAAAGGGGAAAUGUGCCAUGGAUUGGGCUAUUGAUCAUUAUUAUUAUUACUAUUAUUAUUAUUAUUAUUAUUAUUAUUAUUACUCAACAAAAUAAGGACGUGAUGCAACACACAGUUACCUGUGUUUAAUUUUCUGUUAAAAUCGCCUGCACCAAACAGUAGGAUCACCAAGGCAAGGUACUGUAAACCACCCUGUGAGGUACAUAUAUUUAAUACAGAACACAGUUGUACUUUGGUCGCCAAACGCCUUGGAACUUCUACGUUUCGGCUCCCAAAUGAUCGAAACCUGGAAGUGAGUGUUCCAGCUUUCGAACGAUUUUUGGAAGCCAAACGUCCAGCACGGCUUCCGAUUGGCUGCAGGACACUCUUGUGUCCAAUCAGAAGCCGCGUCUUGGUUUUCAAACGGUUCCGGAAGUCGAACGGACUCCCGGAAUGCAUUCUGUUCAAGAACCAAGGUACAAAUGUAGAAUAACCAAUAACUGGGUAGUGGUCCGGGCUCCGCUCCGCAGAAUGAGCAGGAGACAUCCUCCUCCCCUCCCACCACAUAUGAAACAAGUCAUUUAGGAACAUUACCAUCUGAGGAGAGGGAAUCCUGACACCCAGAGUCGAAAAUUUCCUAAGUGCAUGAUGGACACCAGACCAGAAUUCUGUUUUGUGCAGAUUAAGAAUGGCCCUCCAGAACAAAUUAAGUACGUAACCAGAGGUACCACUGUAUUAUCUUCAGUGGCAUAUAUAUAUAUAUAUAUAUAUUGCAUUUUCAGAAAUCAGGAGAAGUUUUGCCCCACCUAUUUAUUCGAUUUCUGAAAGAGAAAUAAUGGCAUUUCAUUCCAGUCCUAUUUUUCUCGGAAGCCAGUCGCAUUGGUUUUGAUGGAAUGAACGAAGCAUGCUUAGGUUUGCAGCCUUAUUUUCAUUUCCAGUUUAUGAGUCAGUUAUAAUUUGUAUGUGAAAAGUGCCUUUCCUUGAAGUCACCGCAGGAGUCCAGCAAUGGAUGGGAGGAAAAGUUGCUUGCUCACUCCGUAUGCGGCCCAUGCAAAACUUUAAAGUACAGUGGUACCUCAGGUUAAGAACUUAAUUCGUUCCGGAGGUCUGUUCUUAACCUGAAACUGUUCUUAACCUGAAGCACUACUUUAGCUAAUGGGGCCUCCCGCUGCUGCCGUGCCGCCGGAGCACGAUUUCUGUUCUUAUCCUGAAGCAAAGUUCUUAACCUGAAGCACUAUUUCUGGGUUAGCGGAGUCUGUAACCUGAAGCGUAUGUAACCUGAAGCAUAUGUAACCCGAGGUACCACUGUAGCCUCUGGUGUUUAUACCUUUCCCACCUAUGUUGUUUCCCCAGUAUAGAUCACCCCCCCCAAAAAAAUAUAUGUAUUAAAUAGAAAUACCGUAUGUAGAAUCCUCACUGUGAAAAAAAUAACCAUAUUCAUUUGGAGUGAAGUCCCUGAGAAUGAGAGGACUUCGUGCACAUACUAUCACUGGAUCAGGGCAUUUAGGUAGAUGAAUGAUCGAUCGAUAGAUCUCACACGUACAGACAAACAUUAUUAUAACCACCGCUCCAAUCAGUGGGAGUCUCUCUGAUGGUCAAAAUUACAGAAGAUUUAUCCUUCCUCAGACCAUUGCCUCCCAUAGAAUAGAAGACGAUCCUCUCCCCUCUCUCAAUUAUUUCUUUGAAACAUUAUUUCUUUUCUCCCCUCCAGCCAAAAAGUCUCUCCGGAGCAGCUUACAUGAAAUCAAUAACACGGUCUUGCUCCAGGCUGCUCUUCAGUGUUGGAAUCCCUGUCUAGCAGAUUUCUCCCUCUAUCAGUUUCACACAAGACUCUUAACUGGACUCCGGUGGGGGUUUUACUUUACUUUAUUUUUUAACUUCCGGCAGACAGGACAAAGACUUUGGGAGAGCAGGAUUUCUGUUUGAGAGAAAAAAAGUUGUCCCGUUCUUAACAUGGAUGGCAUUGUCUUUUGUCUGCUAACAGUGUUGGGCUCCGUUCUUUUUCCGACGAACUGUAUGUAAGUUCUGCUUCGAAGUUCUCCGUGUUAUUCUUUCCAUAGUCAUUGGUUGUAACGAAAACAGGCUGGUCAACCUGGUGGCACUUUAAAGACUAAGGGUGAGAUCCAAUGUUGCGCUAGUUGAUCCCCCUCCCCUUCAUCAACCCCUUGUGACGCCCCGCCCCCCCAAUCUGUCGUGAAGGGUGGCCCCCAACUCUCUGGACCAGAUUUUGGGAGCGUAAGUCUGUUUUUGUGCAAAGUGAGACACUACAAAUUUUAAUAUAGCAUGAGCUUUGUGGACUGUGGCCCAUUUCACCAGAUACAGGUAGGAUUAUAGUUGCUUGCAAGUACAGUGGUACCUGGGUUCUCAAACGCCUUGGUACUCGAACAACUUGGAACCCAAACACUGCAAACCCGGAAGUAAGUGUCCUUUUGUGACACUUUUUUGGAAACCGUACAUGGUCCUUUUUGAGUGCCACACAACCGUUUUGAGUGGUACACUGAAGUCUGUCUGAUUUGCUUUUUUUUGUUGUUGUUUUUGCAUUUUUGUGGCUCUUUUUUUUGUGACCGUUACUGUGUGGAAUGCAGUUCGGCUACUGAUUGAUUGAUUGUGUGAUUGCAGUACGUUGUUUAUCGCUUUCAUUUUAUGGAUCAAUGGUCUCGUUAGAUAGUAAAAUUCACAUUAAAUUGCUGUUUUAGGGGGUUGUUUUUUAAAAUCUGGAACGGAUUAACCCAUUUUGCCUUACUUUCUAUGGGAAAGCACACCUUGGUUUUGGAAUACUUUGGUUUUGGAACGGACUUCCAGAACAGAAUAAGUUUGAGAACCAAGGUACCACUGUAUGUGGUUGCAGGAAAGGGGGUUGUACAGAGUAAGGUUGAAAGGAAAUUAAAUGCAGAAAAGGACAGAAGGUGAUAUUUAUCUCAUUAUCAAUGGUCUUCGUAAAAGCCAGUUGCUGUUGAUAACACAGGUAUUCUGGCAUCGGUAUGCCCAUUGACACAUGCAGUAUGUGAUUUAAAAACAAACAAAAGGCAACCUCUGUCACAAUUCCGUCCACAAGUGACAGAACUGAACUGCUUGACAAGUUAUAGUGGAGUAGUUUCAUACAGUAGCCUCCCUUUGAAGUUUUGCUGUUCCAGUAUAGCCAUUUUAAGAUCUGUUACAGGAUGGGAGGCUGAAAUGUAUGGUUCUGACAUAUCUUUUGAUUCAUGACAUUUCUUUCUAUUUCCCACACAAUAUUCCUUUUGAUUCAGAUUUCUGGGGAUGGUCAAACUAUUUUUAUUCGUCAUGUAGUUUUCCUCGGUAUACUUUGAUUGCUUGUGGCACUUCGGCGUUGCCAAGGCCCAAAUACUUUUAAGAAGUAUUUUUAUAUCAUGGGCUUACAUGUGUUCUAUAUCACAAGCUGACUUGUCUGUGCAGACUGUCAAUGUUUGGACAAAAGAGAAGGCUCUUUCUAUUAGGCGAGGUUUGCGUGGGGGGAAGGUGCCAAAGGAAAUCUGUAAACAUACAACAGGGGGCACGUUCCACACUCUCUGCAGCAACAGUGCUUGCCAUAGCUGAACGGGGGUUAAAUUAGCAUUUUCUGCAGCCAACCGGCAAAGUGUGAAAGGGAGAAGUGUGUUUCUGAACGACUAUUGGACAUGCUGAUUGGGGCAGAUGGGAGACAGAGUUCAACUCAAACUAGAGGGCUAUGGGAUCCUCAACCCUGCAGCUAGCAAUACUAGGCUAGAUCUGCUUUCCCCAAGGUGACUGUGUCCUCUGCGUGACAUUGGACUCCAAUGGGCCUGUCAGCUCCAACCAGCAUGGCCGGUGGUCAGAGACAGUUUUAGAGACUCAGAUAUAUAAGCCAGGCACCAAAUGGCUCCUUAAACCAAGGUUACAGUCGCUAAAAUGGAAUGUCCAGUUGCCAUUUUGGGGUAAGACAACGGGUAAGACAGCGGGUGGCGCUGUGGUCUAAACCACAGAGCCUCUUGGGCUUGCCAGUCAGAAGGUCGGCAGUUCGAAUCCCCGCGACGGGGUGAGCUCCCGUUGCUCCGUCCCAGCUCCUGCCAACCUAGCAGUUCAAAAGCUUGCCUGCGCAAGUAGAUAAAUAGGCACCACUGCGGCGGGAAAGGAAACGGAGCUUUCAUGCACUCUGGUAUCCGGCAUGGUGUUCUGUUGCGCCAGAAGAGGUUUAGUCCUGCUGGCCACAUAACCCAGAAUGCUAUCUGUGGACAAACACCAGCUCCCUUGGCCUGAAGUGAGAUGAGCGCCACAACCCCAUAGUCGCCUUUGACUGGAGUUAACCGCCAUGGGGUCCUUUAACUUUUUUACCAUUAAGAGGGUUCUAAAGUCUUAUUUUUCAACUGACUGUGAUUGAUUCUCAGUUAAGCAUCUGGCUAGUUCAGAUGACAAUCUUGAGCUAGGUUAAGAGCUCUGAGAACUUAAAGGAGAAAAGUUGUUCGACCCAGGGUCCACAUAUAUAUUGGCCUAUUCCGACAUCUUUUUCUUAAUGGUGACAUGAAUCAUUCAUAACGUGAGAAUAUUCUUCACAACUGUGAGCAGGGCAGUGGGGUUGGGGACAUGAAGACAAGCGACAACAAUUAACUAUAAUAUUGUUCACCGCUCCUGCUCAGGCUGCACAGAAAAAGUACUGUAUUUUCUGGCAUAUAAGACUACUUUUUAACCCAGGAAAAUCUUCUCAAAAGUCGGGGGUCGUCUUAUAUGCCGGCUACAGCAGCAGCUCCUGCAGCAACUCCCCACCAAAGGACAAAACGACAGCAAAUUAAAUCAGAGGACACCAAGCUCUCUAGAUGAAGCAGAAAUACGCUUGAAAAUUGGUCCCAGAAGCCCCCCCAAUCACUAGCAACAGAAUGACCCUAACCACUCCUAGUAGUAGACCACAUGGCCCAAAAUGGCGGCCUCGCAUUGCCCCAGCAACUAGACAUGUGGCCGCUGCCUCAGCCCAUGCAGCCCCCGCAGUAAAAGAAAAGGAAAGGCUCACAACAAAGGCAGGGAACCAACAACAGCAUUAAGCACACCCCAGGUCACUGGGAAGUGGAGCGGAUUUUAUUAUUAUUAUUAUUUGGUGUGCGUUGGAAUAAGGGUAGUGUUAUACAGCAAGUAUAUCCCAAACUCUAUAUUUUAACUGGAAAACUUGGGGGUCGUCUUAUACGCCCCGUUGUCUUAUACGUCGGAAAAUACGGUAUUUCGGUUCUUGAAAUUCUUUCUGAUUGUGCAGAUAAAAUAGAACUGAUAGAAUUCUACAGGAUGGGUUAUUAGUGUGUAAAAACAAUCGUGAUCUAAGGAUGCCCAGAUGGUGGAGACGUCAGGUGGCAUCCUGGCAACUGGGCAUCUUCACUUGGUUGCAAGUGGGUGAUACCCAGGUGCAAAAUGUGCUUGGCACCUGGCUAAUUUUGAACACUGGUCAGAGGAUGAUGUGAAUGCAAGGUCCACCACUAUCUUGUGGGCACCAGGUUGGAGAACAUUGGGCUACAUAGACAAAAGGUCUGGCAAAUAGAUUCUUGUCUCUAUAUCAUUGAAGCAAUCCCCAAGUAAAGUUGGUGUAGCAGUUAAUUUGUCUUUGGACUUUACGAGGCAAACACAGAUCAGGCCAGGCUUCCCAGAUCUGCGUGCAAGAGGGGUUUGCCUGGGCAUGUCUCUCACGAUUUCUAUAUUAUCUCUGAGAAAUAUCAGUAUAACACCAGCAUGCAUGCAGCAGUCAUGUCUGCCUUGUAAACGGCGGAGCCAUUCUGGAGAGAUAGCUUCACUUUGGGUUUCCCUAUAUCCGGAAUUAGUGUCAGGGUGUGUGUGUUGAAAAAUUGGUAAAAUGUCUGGGGUUUUGCCCACAGAACCAGGUGUUUGAGUAUCACUCUUUGCCUUUGGGGGGCAAUUUCCCCCAAAAUGCUCAACAAGUUUUUGGGUGAUUUUCCUCACCAAAAUAACUUUUGUGUGUGGAUUUUUACUUCUUGAAAUAUGGCGACCCUAUCUCAGCAUGCUGGAUACAGGCUUUAGAGUCACACAGGGCUCUUCGUCAGGUUGCAUGCUUUUGAAAGGGGGAGCUCCAAAAGCAGAGGGGAAUGGUGGUGACAGUCCUGCUCAGCUAUGGGGCAUUCAUAGAUCGGCAAGGUCUCUUGUAGACUGUAUAAUGGAGAAGCAGCAGCCUUUAAAAAAAAAAAAAGCUAUUCAUUGGAGUCAAUCAAGCCCCAUCACCGGGGUUUCAUUUAAAAUGAAGCAUACUGUGACUCUAGGAUGGGGGAAGUUGCGCCUUCUGAUAUGAAUGCCUUUCUGCCUAAGGCUUUAAUUAAGACGAUGUUUUGCAGGUAGGGGCUGGUUGCAAUUUAGGAUGGGCACUUUGAUGCAUGAGCAGAAAAAAAGAGGACGCCGAUUUGUCUGAAAUUUGAGCAUGCUCAUUCGUAAGUACAGAAGACACUUUAUUAGUAAUAAUUACUAUAAUUGAAUAGAAAUAAGUCUUUUGCUGUGAUGCAGUGACCCAUGUGUCUGCUCAAGCCGCUCUUUAUUCCGCUGCUCACUGUGGACGGGUAACAUAAAGACGUCCUCUGCUUCCUCGCUUCUGAUGGUUCUUGAACAGUAGACAGGAACUAAACAGUCCUGCAGAUAGAGGACGGUCUUUUGUAAAGUCACAAGCCCCUCAGCCCCAGUUGUGGUUAUUUGGCAGGGCUACUGACUGACCAGAAAGAAAGCCAUGCAUGGCUUUGUUAUUCUGCCUCUUGACAGCGCCUUGAUGUGCAGAACUCAGCAGGGGGAAGCUUUUCACAGUGCGGAGACGCACAUUAUCAGCGACCGGUGUCUGCACAUCAAGCUGCCGUUAAAAGCAGAAGCUGCGAGGGCCAGCUGAAAAAUGGCCAGCCCUGUGACUCUGUCAGCACCAGUUCAGAUAUACAGUAUUAGAAAACUCCUUCAGAGAUAGCCGGCUGAGCAGAGCCACAAAGCUCUGACGCAAUGCGCGAAUAUCGAGAGGAGUGGAGAUCGGUACACAAGACGUGGCCAAUAUCUGGGCCAUGGGUAAGCAAACCAAGGCCCGGGGGCCGGAUCCGGCCCAAUUGCCUUCUAACUCUGGCCUGUGGACGGUCCAGGAAUCAGCAUGUUUUUACAUGCGUAGAAUGUGUGCUUUUCUUUAAAAUGCAUCUCUGGGUUAUUUGUGGGGCCUGCCUGGUGUUUUUACAUGCCUUUUAUUUAAAAUGCAUCUCUGGGUUAUUUGUGGGGCAUAGGAAUUUGUUCACCCCCCCAAAAAAAAUAUAGGCCACCCCCCCACACACACAAGGUCUGAGGGACAGUGGACCGGCCCCCUGCUGAAAAUGUUUUCUGACCCCUGGGGCUGUUUGAGCUCCUGCAAACGCUGCCUUUGGGUGGUGGUGCCCUUUGAAAUUUGGCUGCAUUGGAACAGAAUGAUGACCCGCCUCUCCUCCUCCCAGUACUGUGCUUUCAGCUACAAAAUGUGUCAUCCUCCAGGGAAUGCAGUCUGCACAUGCUCAGAGUGACUUCCUAUCAUCUGAUGAGGCUGCCAUCUUCUGUUUCCAGAACUCCAACCGUUUAGCUUGAAUGCCUCGGCGAAUGUGGAACACGGGAUAGUUCAGUUGGUUGGAGCAUGGCGCUGAUAAUGCCACGGUUGCGGGUUCGAUGCUCGUAUGGGACAGCUGCACAUUCCAGCAUUGCAGAGGGUUGGACUAGAUGAUCCUCAGGGUCCCUUCCAACUCUACAGUUGCAUUUUUCUAAGUUGCCUUGUCCUCUUUGUGGUUAUAAACAAGCAAACCAAUAAUGUGCCUGUAAGCUUGUGCAGGGCCUCUUUUCCUUCUGAUAAGACGUAGCUGCUUAGCGCAUGAUGCAUUUGAGCAUGUGCAGAGUGCAUCCUCAAGGUACCACGUUUCUCUUUACUUUAAAUGCAUCUUGUGGUGGGGGAAAAAAAGAAAUAAAACCACUAACCAAAUUUCCCCCUGGUUCUUCAUCUUCCUGGGUAUGGCAAUUGGACUAGAAAACUGGGAAAAUUUAAUCAAAAUGUUUUAUAGAUGGUACUUAACACCUGCCAAAGUAGCUAAAAUGUAUAAAACAAAAGCAAACCUGUGUUGGAGGUGCAGUAAAGCAGAAGGGACACUUAUACAUAUCUGGUGGAGCUGUGAAAAAAUCAAAAGCUUCUGGGAUAUAGUACUGUAUAUGAUGAACUUUUAAAAAUGUUUAAAUAUAACUUUGUGAAAAAUACAGAAGCUUUCCUGUUAGGAAUAACAGACACAGGUAUAGCAAAAGAAGAUUGGAAAAUAUUCCUUUGUGCCACAGGCGCGGCGAGGACCUUAAUUGCCAGAAAUUGGAAAGAAGAAUUUGUGCCAACAAAAAAGGAAUGGCAGGAUAAAUUAUUAGAUUACAGUGGUACCUCAGGUUACAGACGCUUCAGGUUACAGACGCUUCAGGUUACAGACUCCGCUAACGCAGAAAUAGUAACUCGCAUUAAGAACUUUACCUCAGGAUGAGAACAGAAAUUGCAUGGCGGCAGCGGGAGGCCCCAUUAGCUAAAGUGGUACCUCAGGUUAAGAACAGUUUCAGGUUAAGAACGGACCUCCAGAACGAAUUAAGUUCUUAACCCGAGGUACCACUGUAUACUGAAUUGGCCAGAUUAACAGAGACAAUUAGGGGACAACCCAGACAAGAAUUUCAAAAAGGAUGGGGAAAAUGCAGAGAAUACUUUACCAGACAGUGCCCCAAAAUAUACACCUGGACUUGUUUCGAUUAAUUUCUACAGGAGACUUUGCGGGUUUUUAAAGACAUAAUUAGGAAAAAUUGUAAUAAUCACAUAUUAAAGAAACAGUAUUCAAGAAGUAAAUAAGGAGGCCAUUUCCAGGAUAAAGGAAGUCUUUUAUUUUUAUGUUAUGUUUUCUUUGUGUAAGGGGAUAGGAGUUUAAUUUCGAUAAUUCAGUUGUCAAUGGUGGUGGGUUUGUUUGUAUGUAUGACUUGUUGUGGACCAUGUUGUAAAAUAAAUUACUAAUAGACAACUGGGGUAUUGGCCCUACUGGUGUUGAGCUGGGGAUUUUGGAGUUGUUGCAGGGCAGAAAGCGAGGCCACAAACAUCCCAAACAGCAUCCUUUCCCCCUUCCCGUCAUGCAACACCACUUUGGCCUUCUUGGGCAAGCUGGCCGUUCCAGACCAACCCCUUAGGAAAUUUCCCUUGCAGGCCCCGCUUGUUUGCAAACAUGCCCCGCCUUUUCAUUUCCCCACUUGUUAAACAGAUUCCAGACCUCAGCCCCCUAUCUCAGAUUAAUCCCCAUCAUCUAGCUCAUACAACAAGGGAUUCUUUCUCUUGAGAUAAAGAUGCAACCCUGAGUCCUUGGAUUGGACCCGGAAUGAAAUCUAAAUAAACAAAUAACCUUGUGAUGCUGCAGUUUCCCCCAUUUUAGAGCCCUUACGCAACCCGGUCCUAGUAACAAUGUGGCCCCAGUAGCAGAAUGAAUGCCGGCUGCUUGGCUCUCUGAACAGCAACCAGGAGAAUCAGGCUAUUGGCUAUGUUAAGUGUUUCACAAAGGGAACAAUCCUAAGCAUAUUUACUCAAAGAAGUAAAGGGGACCCCUGACCAUUAGGUCCAGUCGUGACCGACUCUGGGGUUGCGGCGCUCAUCUCGCUUUACUAGCCGAGGGAGCCGGCAUACAGCUUCCGGGUCAUGUGGCCAGCAUGACUAAGCCGCUUCUGGCGAAGCAGAGCAGCAUACGGAAACGCCGUUUACCUUCCCGCCAGAGCGAUACCUAUUUAUCUACUUGCACUUUGACGUGCUUUCGAACUGCUAGGUUGGCAGGAGCUGGGACCGAGCAACGGGAGCUCACCCCAUCGCGGGGAUUCGAACCGCCGACCUUCUGCUCGGCAAGUCCUAGGCUCUGUGGUUUAACCCACAGCGCCACCCGUGUCCCUAACUCAAAGAAGUAGAUCUCACUAAUAAGCAGGGGUGUAGGAAGGGGGGUGCGGGGGGUGGGCCGCCCCGGGUGUCAUCCCUGAGGGGGUGAAAAAUGGCACACUGCGGGGGGCAGCACUUACCAUGGGGCCUGGCCUGCAGCACGCCUGAGCCACACAUCUCUCCUGAGAGUGACGCAGUGGCUCGGGGUCCCGCACUGCCCGAAACUGCAGCGUGGGGCUUGCGUCCGCCAGGCGGACUUCAUGGGCAGCUUGUCGCGCCGCCCCCCUGGGCAGAUCUCCAGCCUGCCCCCGUGCGCGGAUCGCCCCAUCCCCGCCACUCUGGGUGCCAGAGCAGCUAGCUAGGCCCCUGCUAAUAAGCCUUGUUGAAGCUUGCAUACUUUUCUGGAAGUAAAAGUCAUUGAACUCUACAUAUUUUGGAUACAGUGGGUACUCAGGUUGCGAACGUGAUCCGUGCGGAAGGCACGUUCGCAACCCGCAGCGUUCACAACCCACAGCACCGCGUCUGUGCAUGCACGGGUCGCAAUUUGAUGCUUCUGCACAUGCGCAAAGUGCUGAAACCCAGAAGUAACCCGUUCCGGUAUUUCCGGGUUCGGCGCAGUGCGCAACCCAAAAACAUGCAACCCGAAUCGUCUGUAACCCGAGGUAUGAGUGUAUUAGCAUUUUUUAAAAAAUGUAAAAUGGACUGGCUUCUUGCACAGCAACUGUGGGAACGAAUGGAUUGAGCACACAAAAGUGUGAAUGUUAAAAGAUUUAUAAUGGAUUGAUUUAAAUGCAAGCAGGGUGUUAAGUUGUGGGCGAACAUAGCAGACGACACAGCAAUUCUUCAAACAGCUCUUCUACAUUCAGAUGUCAGAACAGAACUGAACUGAGGGGCUCAGUCAGCCUGCUUAUAUAGAGCUCCAGAACAAUGUAACUGUUGCCAUUUUCUAAAACUAUCCAAUCACUGAACGUCACUUUUCGAUCCUUCAUUUGCAUACAAACUAUCCAAUCACUGAACGUCACUUUUCGAUCCUUCAUUUGCAUAACUAUCUACAGUAUCCCCCUGCUGGCCCAGGGUGAGAACUUCAGUACAUAACACAGGGCUUGUUCGCAAUGCCUCGCCCUCCCUGCUUUUUUAGCCCAGCUUGAGUCACCUGUGUGAGUGAGAUAUAAAAUGUAGAAUUGAGCCUUGUAUGGAACAACUAUUCAAGGGGCUGCCAACAGGAUUAUUUCCAAAUGUUGCAACUCUCAUCAUCACUGGCCAUUCUGGCUAGAAGUUAAAGGACCCCUGGAUGGUUAAGUCCAGUCAAAGGUGACUCUGGGGUUGCGGCGCUCAUCUCACUUUCUGGCCAAGGGAGCCAGUGUUUGUCCACAGACAGCUUUUCCGGGUCAUGCAGCCAGCAUGACUAAACUGCUUCUGGCACAACUGAUCACUGUGACGGAAACCAGAGUGCACGGAAAUGCCAUUUACCUUCCUGCCGCAGUGGUACCUAUUUAUCUACUUGCACUGGUGUGCUUUCGAACUGCUAGGUUGGAGGGAGCUGGGAGAGAGCAAGGGGAGCUCACUUUGUCGCAGGCAUUCAAACUGCUGACCUUCUAAUUUGCAAGCCCAAGAGACUCAGUGGUUUACACCACAGCGCCACCUGCGUCCCAUGAUUCUGGCUAGAGUCUAGGACUGGGUGAUAUAUCGAUAUAUUGUCCAAAGCUGGUUUGAAGUCCAUAUUGUGAUAUCACUUUCAUAAUUUUUGGCCUGGCAAUAUAUUAUGUUUAUUAUUUUGUUUGUGUGCUAUAUAGAAAUCACAAUGUGGGGAAAACCAUGAAGCCAGCCAAUGCUUCUCUCAGUUCCUCCUGUUUCCGAGGCAGCUGCACCAAUCAGAAGUCGUGCCUUGGUUUUCAAACAUUUCGAAAGUCAAACGGGCUUCCAGAACGGAUUAAAUUUGGUGCUUUUGUUUUUGCUAUUUAUUUUGCGUUUUUGAGGCUUUUUCGGUUAAUUUGUUUUUGUGACUGUGUGGAAUCCAGUUCAGCUACUGAUUGAUUGAUUGAUUGAUUGAUUAAUUGUGUGACUGUGGAAAUGGAUAAAAGUCCCCCAUCCAAACAAUGACUGUCAUCAGUGCAGGUAAGAAAAUAAUAAUAAUUUUAUCACCCACAAUACUGUCUUAUUUAUUUUAUAGUACAGUACAUUGAUUAUUGCUUUCAUUUUAUGGAUCAAUGGUCUCGUUAGAUAGUAAAAUUCAUGUUAAAUUGCUGUUUUAGGGGUGUUUUUAAAAGUAUGGAACAGAUUAAUUUGUUUUGCAUUACUUUCUAUGGGAAAGCGCGCCUUGGUUUUGGAACGCUUUGGUUUGGGAACGGACUUCUGGAACGGAUUAAGUUUGAGAACCAAGGUACCACUGUACAGUGGAAGAGCAGAUGCAGGGAAUGCAAAGCCUGUGCAGCUGAUCGUUGCUUGUGAAACUGGCCUUCUGUGGUUCAACAGUUUCGGAUGCCAGUGGCUCUGGUUGAAUUGCGCUCAUGUGCUGCAGAUGGGACAAAAGCGCCAAUCACCUUUGAUGGCGUAUCUACUAAAACUAGCUCCCCAACCCAGUCCUGUUCUGAGCGUCUGAUUGGUGGUGCUGCUGAUUAUUGGCCUGAGGCUAUGCGCAUCCAGGUAGAAACGAAGAGAAGCAGUGUGAAUGAAUGCCAUUUCCAAAUAGAUGCAUAAGCAUUGAUUUAUUCAUGCUUAUACGCGGGUGGCGCUGUGGGUAAAACCUCAGUGCCUAGGACUUGCUGAUCGUAAGGUCGGCGGUUCGAAUCCCCGCGGCGGGGUGAGCUCCCAUCGUUCGGUCCCAGCUCCUGCCCACCUAGCAGUUCGAAAGCACCCCUAAGUGCAAGUAGAUAAAUAGGUACCGCUUUAUAGCGGGAAGGUAAACGGCGUUUCCGUGUGCUGCGCUGGUGCUGGCUCGCCAGAGCAGCUUCGUCACGCUGGCCACGUGACCCGGAAGUGUCUUCGGACGGCGCCGGCUCCCGGCCUCUUAAGCGAGAUGAGCGCGCAACCCUAGAGUCGGACACGACUGGCCCGUACGGGCAGGGGUACCUUUACCUUUUAUACUUCCUGACUGGCUCAGUGCAAAUGAGUCUCAAAGGGUAACCUCCUCUCAUGACCGUUUUCCUAGACGUGGACAACGUUAGUGUUGGGAAAAUGCAUACUUUACUGAUGCUCAGCGUUUGCAGAACUGAGUACUCCAUUUCGCCAUUUUAGCCGUUAACGGUACUAUAAAAUAAAGGCAACCUGCCCAUCCAUUCACAGCAGCUUAAUAUCUAGUCCAUACAAUGCACGAUUACAAAUCAUCUUCCAGCGUCCCUGGAAAGGGCGAUUCAUGCAAUUCAUUUUUGGAUCUUGCGAGCAGCCCUGGGCAAGCUGAUUUUUUCCCACGGGGAAUUGUAUUGUGAAGUAGCCACAACCUAGCUAAAGUUAGCGAUUCCUAAAAUCCCGAGGUACCACUGUAUAGGACUGGCAAUAUGACCUCCCUACCAAUUCACAGCUAUACAGUGGUACCUCGGGUUACAGAGGCUUCAGGUUACAGACGCUUCAUGUUACAGACUCCGCUAACCCAGAAAUAGUACCUCGGGUUAAGAACUUUGCUUCAGGAUGAGAACAGAAAUCACGUGGUGUCGGCACGGUGGCAGCGGGAGGCCCCAUUAGCUAAAGUGGUACCUCAGGUUAAGAACAGUUUCAGGUUAAGAACGGACCUCCAGAACGGAUUAAGUUCUUAACCCGAGGUACCACUGUACUUGAAUGUUUUUUGCCCCUUAAACAGAUGGCACACUGUUAUUUGCACUUCAGGCGGCCUUUAUUCAGCAAGCUUGCAAUCUUCUUUGCCUUUUGCUGUCCUUAAAGGAGUUUCGCUUUGUUUUCUCCUUCAAAACUUGACAUUGCUUUUGCUAGUGAACAGGGAGGUAGGCUCCCUUUUAGCAGCCGGGACAGACAGCUGCCACAUCAUAAUGGUAGAUUUUUUUUGGGGGGGGAGUGGGUCAGCUCGUCCUCUCCUCCCCACCUCCAAAACUUAAAUGCUGCGAAGUUUUAUUGUGCUGCAAAGGUGACAUUUCCAACAUUCUGAAAGGAUUGGUAAAUAUUUGGCAGACCUGAUUCACGGGAUGCAGAAGGUGGGGUGGGGUGGGGGAAAUGGUUGUAUCUUAUCUGCGAUAAGAGCUGAAACAAAACUAUCUGGAGCGACCCAGUGCUCAAAUUGGCCACGAGGAACAGGACAGGGGGAGGAGAGGGGAAAAAAUCAGGAGACGAAAUACUAUGGAACAUGGAAGUUUUCCAAACGCAGGACAGCAAUUUGUUGACAGUUGUGUUUGCUGUUUUUAAAUCUCUCUCUCACUCUUUCUUUCUUUCUUUCUCUCUCUCUCUCUCUCUCUCCUUCCACCCCUCCUCUUUUUAAAUGUUAAGUUACCCUCGAACAUUCCUCUGCUAAGUUCUGAUUUUUAGAAAAUGGAAACAGCAAAGGGUUUAUUUAUUUAUUUAUUUAACCACAAGGUUUGAGACAGUUCCCCCGAGAAAGGGGGAUUUUGGUCUCCUUUGGUAUCUUUUGACGACAUGGGUAAAUCUUGGACAAGUCGCAGCUUCUGGUAGAGAAGCCCUAAUUUUUUUUAAAAAAUGCUUUUGCAUGAAAAUAGCUUAAAAACGGAUUACCUCUUCAACUUUCGAAACAGCUCAGUUUGACAAGACGUUUUAAAAAAGAUGCUCUUUAUUCCAGGAUCUCAAAUAUGUGUACGGCGUAAGAUAAUUAUGGAUGCCUCUCAUACCGGGAAACGAAAAAGCAAAACAAAAUCCCCAUCGACCCCUUAGGUUUUGAAACGUUGUUUUGGAAAACUUCAUAGUAGGGAUGCUUCCUUGAUUGAGAAUUCAUCCUGAUUUGUUUUGAAGGAGAUUAGACAAGCGCUGAGUAUUUAACAAGCAUUUGUUCCAAUUUGUUUUGGGGACGUUAGGCGAUGAUGCCUGCAAGCAACUUUUCCAGGGUACCGCUCCAUCACUUUCACCACUGCGAAAAGUUCGGUAUUCUAGGAAGCAGGUUUGUUGUAUAAGGCCCCCUUUAAACGUGCAACCUGAAUUGACCAGUCUGCAAAUCUAUUGCAAAUCUGAAUGUUUUAUUGGCAGGGCAUGGGUCUGAGGCAGUGCUAGGCCAGCUGAACUUUGUGGGUUUCCACCUUUUUAAAGGAUGAUAAUUUUAUCUUAAAGUAUGAGGCAACAAAAAGCUUUUCUUCUGUUCCCUCCCCGCCAAGCCUUGCUGCUGCUUCUAGUGUCUGUCUGCCUGUUCUUCACUGUUUCCUCUGGAAAUGACGCUGUAACAUCGCAUUUAAUUGUUGUUUUAAUGUGCUUUUAUUUUAUUUCCGUUGCAUCAUUUUACCAGCUUGGUGUCUGCUGCUGUGGGGCUCCUAAGUUUGGAAGGGUGGGGUAUUUAUUAUGGGCAAUGCCAAAUUUACGUAUGAGGUAAACAAGCUAUAGCUUAGGGCCCCACUCUCUUGGCCCCCCAAAAGUAUACUUCUUAAUUGUAUUUCACUAUUAAUAUACUUCUUCUUAAUUGUAUUUCAGUUCAACAAUUACUUCGAUAAAAUGCAUAUUUUGUUGUGUGCAAAUGGCUUUAGAUACCUCUUAGGUCCAUAAAUUACUAUAUAGCAUAUAUUCAACACAAAAAACAGCGACAAUUUGUCAUUGACAAAGGACAGCUGGACAUAUAAAGGGCCCCAUUACCUUCAGUAGCUUAGGGCCUCAUCAAACCUAAAUCCGGCCCUGGUUAUGGUUGGCAUUUACUCUUGGGAGAUGCCUUGAAAUUAAUGGACAUGGUUAGGUUAGGUCCCUUAAUUUCAUUGGUGCUUCUCUGAGUACAACUUAAUUGAAAACCACCCUAUUUAUUUAUUAAAUUUCUACCCAGCCCUUCCUCGCAAAGGAGCCCAGGGUGGCAAAUGCACAAGCGAUAAAAUGAUUACUCUUAACAUCUAAAAGCAAUAGACACUUUGUCCUGGAUCUUAGGCAAGUCAAUCAAAUAAUCGGUUAUUUUCUGGCGCUCAGCAGCUCAACAAUUUUGGGGUCUUCCUGUUAAAAGCUCAACAACUUUUUGGGGUGUGCUGGUUUUUAUUUUUUGAAAUAUGGCAACCCUCGUUUGCCUUCCCACUGCGGUCACCCGUCGUGUGGAUUCAAACCGCCAACCUUCUGAUUGGCAAGCUCAGGAGGCUCAGCGGUUUAGACCACAGCACCACCCGCUCUCUUAUCAGCCAAGGGAAUGCAGUCCUGUAUAGGGAUGUUUUUAAUGUUUGAUGUUUUAUUGUGUUUGAUGUAUUCAUUUGUUGGAAGCCAUCCAGAGUAGUUGGGGCAAUCCAGUCAGAUGGGCAGAAUAAUAAUAAUAAUAAUAAUAAUAAUAAUAAUAAUAAGGCAAUUCUGACCCAGAAACCCAUGCCAUUGCCAGUAGCACCUAUGGCACUAUUUGAAACUGCUUCAAUGCUUGGAUCUUUUUUGGGGGGGGGGGUAUGUGUUAAAAAAUGAAGAGCAAAUCUAAUAAAAAGCAUUGACCGGCUCACAUUUAAAGGUAUGGAUUGUUUAAAUUUGCAGCCAAAAAACACUGAUUUAAUUUUUUAAAGACAUGCAGCAAAACCCUCAGCAGAUUUACUUGGCCUCAUUGGGGUUUUCUCCACACUAACUGAUGCCAGGAAUGUCUAGAAGACCAAAAGGCAGAUGUAAAUUUAUAUAAUUUGUAAAAGUAAAUUAUGAUUAAUAAUAAAGAAACUGCAACAGUCAAUUAAUUAACACACACCUCAAUUUGGAAGCCAAUGCAGCACACAUUUAUGCAAAACGAAUCCAGAAAAUAGGAGGGAGGGAGAAGAUGCCAUUAUUAUUAUUAUUAUUAUUAUUAUUAUUAUUAUUAUUAGAGAGUGAAGCCUUUGGACAUUGAUCCUUUGUAUGUGAGUGGAAGUGCUGUAAGUACAAAAUCUUAUCCCAAUUUCCACUGGUGAAAUAUUAGGGAGGACAAUUAAGUUAACUAGUUAUAAAAUAAUAUAUGUAAACCAACCUAACAGGUUUAUGGAAAAUGGGUUUUUAUUGUAAUGUUUUGGAAUAACAAAUUCAAUGAUAAUGUCUAACCUUAUGCUGCUUUCAAACUGCUAUAAUAGCAUUUCUUUAUCUUUGGUUUAUUUUGUUCAAAAAAAAUGGGGGGAAUGUAAUGUAGAAGAUGCCCUAAAGUGAUAAUAGGCCCUGUGAAUCCAACAUCUCAGAUUUUCACAACUUUGAAGAUGACAGUUCCUGAGCCCAACGUUAAAAAUCUCACUGUUGAAAAAUUGUAAAUUGGAUUAAUGAAUCCGUUAAAGAAUUUCUGUAAUGUUUCUUAGCUUUAAAAAAGACAGCAAAAACGUCAUUUAUCCAAAUGCUAGCAAUUCAGUUCAUCUUCUGUCUUAAAAUGAAAUUGUAACAGAGUUCAAAAAGUUUUUGGAAGUUCAACAAUGAGAAUACACAGCUUUAAAAUAAGACAGUGUACCACGUAUAGGUUAGAUUUCAAUGUUAAUUUUCUCUCCCCAUAGAACAAGCUUCCUUUGAAUAUAGGAUUUCAAAUUCAGAGGAUUUCUAAGAUAGAAAAAAGCUUUAUUUAAUUCAAAGUUAACUACAGGGUUAAAUUCAAGUAUGCAAGUGCAAUAAUGAAAGGAAUAAAUUCCAGAAACUGCUAAACCCUCGGCAUUGUUACAGAACUGUGAUGGGUUUGCCUUGUGCGGGAACAUCUGGAAUAAUAUUGUAUUUCCACCAAGCGGAAUUUUAUUCAAAAAGAGCAACGAUAGGCUGAGAUUUGAGGGAUAAGAAAUCCUGAUUUAUUACCCUUUUAAACUGAAGUACUUCAAUUUAAUCAGAUUAAGGGUAUAUUCUCUAGCCCACACUUGCAUUCGUUAGUUUCAUUUUUAGCACAUUUUCAUCACCCGUUUGUAUUAACAACCCUGGUGAUGCUUAAAUAGUUGUGAAAGGGAACAGUAGUGAUUCCAGUCUAAUUAAACCUGGCUAAAUUAACACGGAGUUCAGGCCAUUGUCUGUGUCGUGGCAGGGGGGGAAAGUAUUUAUUCUUAAUUAAGGCUGUGGGAUGAUCAUUCUAGAAGUUAGGGAAAACUUCUUACAUGCUAUCAAGCAUUGCACGAUAGCGACGGUCUGAUAAAAUGCCCAGGAACGUUAUUUUGUGUUAUUAAAUAUGUGUUGCACAUUGCCAAGACACCAAUUUGGCAGAGAGCGUAACUGACAACUCUCUGAAUCAGAACAAAAUUAAUUUGCGCAUAAAGCCUCUUCGGUAACAUCAGUGGAUUCCAGGACACGUUCAGACGUAGCAGCCGAAAGGAUGAUAGUUCCAUGACGCACAAUUCAGCAAGUCCUAAACCUAAAGUUUCACUAAUUUCAGUCGCAUUGCCCUUUUCCAAAUCGGCCUAAUGAAAGCACUGAUGCAAGAAUAAUGAAACUUCCCCUAAUGGCUGGGGUGCCAACUUGAAUAAAAUAUUAGGGAGGGAGGCAGGUAAGCCCUGCCCAGUGCCGGAUUUACAUAUAAGCUAAACAAGCUAUAGCUUAGGGCCCCAUUCUCUUGGGGAACCAAAAAAAAAAAAAAAAACUAAAUUUACAUUUCCAAAAUAUAAGAUAAAUAACAAAUAAAAUAAAACCUACAUACAGCAACAGUGUUUUGUGUUGUGUAGGCUCCUGUGAUGUAAGUAAUGGGCCCCGCCUGCUCCCUAAAAUAUCACUGGUUUGCUCAUUUCUAUAUAUAGGGUGCCUACAUUCUGCAUGUGCAAAUGUCUUUAGAUACUUAUUAGGUCCAUAAAUUACCAUAUAGCAUAUAUUCGACACAAAAAACAGCGACAAGGGAUAUCUGCUUUUGAAUUGGCUCUUUCUUAGCUGGAAUCUUGACACACACACAAAAAAACCGCUGUGAAAAUGCUUUUUUUCAAAAGUGCUUUGAAAAAAAUAUUGAAUUUGCCAUAAGCUCACCACCACCAUCUAGUGUCACAUUUCUUUUAUGCACUCAAAACGGCCUUAAAACAUUAUAUUUGCAGCUCUAUAGCUGAGUCAUUACCUUCUGUUCCUUAGGAAGAGUAUUCACGAGAUAGAUUCCAGACUUAGAAGAUUUUCUUACAGCCAGGCGUCAUGCUACAUUGUUGGAAUAUCUCCUUGCCGAUUAAGAUGUGGGGUUGAAUGUGUGGAGGCCUCUCUCUCAGGGUAGUGUACACACACACACAGCAUGUCAGAGGAAAAUCUCUGCCCUUUGCUUGUCUGUGCUUUGCUUAAUGUACACAUUUUUGUAAGCAGCUUAUCCCAAUGUGCUUUAUUUUUGUUUGCUAUUUGCACUGCUGUAUGUGUAAGGUAAAGGUAAAGGGACCUCUGACCAUUAGGUCCAGUCGUGGCCGACUCUGGGGUUGCGGAGCUCAUCUCGCUGCUUUAUUAUUAUUAUUAUUAUUAUUAUUAAUAAUAAUAAUAAUAAUAAAUUAUUUAUACCCCGCUCAUCUGGCUGGGUUUCCCCAGGCACUGUGUGCGGCUCCCAACAGAAUAUUAAAAGCACGAUGAAACAUCAAACAGGGCUGCCUUCAGAUGUCUUCUAAAAGUCAGAUAGUUGUUUAUUUCCUUGACAUCUGAUGGGAGGGCCUUCCACAGGGCCGGCGCCACUACCGAGAAGGUCCUCUGCCUGGUUCCCUGUAACCUCACUUCUCACAGUGAGGGAACCACCAGAAGGCCCUCGGAGCUGGACCUCAGUGUCCAGGCUGAAUGAUGUGGGUGGAGACGCUCCUUCAGGUAUACUGGGCCAAGGCUGUUUAGGGCUUUAAAGGUCAGCACCAACCCUUUGAAUUGUGCUCAGAAACAUACUGGGAGCCAGUGUAGGUCUUUCAAGAACGGUGUUAUGUGGUCUUGGUGGCUACUCCCAGUCACCAGUCAUGCUGCUGAAUUCUGUAUUAGUUGUAGUUUCUGGGUCACCUUCAAAGGUAGCCCCACAUAGAGUGCAUUGCAGUAGUCCAAGCGGGACAUAACUAGAGCAUGCACCACUCAAGUGAGACAGUCUGUGGGCAGGUAGGGUCUCAGCCUGCGUACCAGAUGGAGCUGGUAGACAGUUCCGCUGGACACAGAAUUUACCUGUGCCUCCAUGGACAGCUUGGGCAGGUUACCGUCUCUCAUUUUCGUUGUCCCAUUGUUAACUUCCAUACAAUAGGUAUAAAGCUCAGACGAAUAUUCGUUGGAAAUUUUAGCUUUUUCUGGACUGUCGUAAUUAUACAAUAUGACACUUUCCACCCGAACCUAGUAAGUACAGAGCACCGUACAAACAUACGAUUCAGGGAGGCACGAGUUGUGACGUCAGACUGACACAACCACCUUUGCUCUCUGCUUCAGUUUUGCCAAAGCAGCAGCUCAAGUGAUGAGGGCUGAAGUCCAUUUUCAUUUUUCAAUGGUCCACCCACUGUGGUCCUUCUCUGGAGAAAGAAGCUUCUCUAUCCAUCUCAGGAACCAUAGGAGCAGCUGUUUCACUUAUUAAAGCCUUAGCAAGCCAAACAUGGAGACAAAUGACGGGUUUUGUCAGAGAACAUAUUGAGGAGUUUCCCUUUUGGGCUGUUUUAUUUUAGUAAUGCAGCGUUGUCUAUUUUAUAUUUUCUUAACGGAUUGUUUCUGGAGCUCCGGUGGGAACUUCAUCACCCCAGAUUUAUUAGAGUGGUGCGUUACAUUGUUUCCAUUUAAUAUAAAACUGAAGUAAAUAGGGGGAAAACCCUGCCGUGUGGGUGUGUUUGUGGGUGUGUUUGUAGGUGGUCGACUGCAUAGAAGGAAUAAUCUGCUGAAAUAAACAGAUCACUUCAGAAUUUACUGGAGUGUACUAAUAUAACUUCUAAAAAUGGGGUGUGAUCUGCUUCCUUUAACUUUCGAGUUUCCAGUCUCCUUCCAUAGCUGUUGCCUUCCACCAACACCCUGGCUCAGCCUCACGGGCAGCACAGGAAACUAAUAAUAAUAAUAAUAAUAAUAAUAAUUUUUACUUAUACCCCGCCUUCCCCGGCCAGAGCCGGGCUCAGGGCGGCUAACACCAAUAAAAUCACAGUAAAAACAUACCGGUAAUAGGGGAAAAGGAGAGAGGGGGGAAAACCCAAUUUAAAAACAGUUAGUGGACCAAAGCUCAUUUUUAUAUUAUUGUCAAGAAAUUGAGCUGCUUUGUAUAAUUUUUUGUGAGUUCGGCAGGCGACAUCCUGCCAUUGAUAGAUGUAUUUGGCCUCUGUUUGUAUAACCUGUACGAAAAUGUUGCCCUGAAAAUGUGACUCAGCCCUGGUAGACUCUCACCAGGAUUUGUAAGAAUAGAAAAACAACGGAAAUAUUUCCGCAAGGCCAGCUUUUAGGCAGUAAGUUGUCAUUUCAGGGAGAUAGUGCAAAACGCCAUUCUAAAUCCAGUGUACAAGGUUUUGGUUGGGGUUGCAGAUACAGGCAAUGAAAAACAACAUUCUUUUCACUUUAUUCUUCUUGGUUGCCUUUUAGUGCAGUGAAUUUUGGAGGAAUCGUGGAAUUGUAGAGUUGGAGGGGACCCUGAGGAUCAUCUAGUGCAACUCCCUAGACCCCCAUCGGACUAUAACGUGGGCUGCCAUUAUGUUUGGAAACGCCAAGUGGCAAAGUUAUUUUAAUGGACUUUGCCACUUUUAGGUCACAUCAUGGAUGGAAGUAUUGGUGCCUUCCGGCUGUUGGUUGCAACAGUGAGCAGCCCGUUGUUUCUGGGAUUCGAAAGCCUACAAGCAGGGAGUUGAGGCAAGAGCUAUACCUUUUUGUUUAUCCAUCACAAUUGCCCAGUGUAUCUCUAUGGGGUUCCUGGUCAUGAGGGCUAGAAACUUGGAGAAAGUUCCAAAAGAGUUGCACUUUUUGUUUCCCUGCAGUAGCUCAAAUCAGUUAAGAGUGGGGUUAUGGAAAAAGAGCUGGGGAUUGCUACUUCAAUGUCUUCUGGACAAAGGACAUUGCGGUAUUGCACAAGACUUGGACCACUGCAGUAAUUUGAACUCUGCUGAUAACCUAACAAGUGGCUAAAGGUAAAGGGACCCCUGACCAUUAGCUCCAGUCGUGACCGACUAUGGGGUUGGGGCGCUCAUCUCGCUUUAUUGGCUGAGGGAGCCAGCGUACAGCUUCCGGGUCAUGUGGCCAGCAUGACUAAACCGCUUCUGGCGAACCAGAGCAGCGCACGGAAAUGCCGUUUACCUUCCCGCUGCAGCGGUACCUAUUUAUCUACUUACACUUUGGCGUGCUUUCGAACUGCUAGGUUGGCAGGAGCUGGGACCGAACAACGGGAGCUCACCCCGUCGCGGGGAUUUGAACCGCCGACCUUCUGAUUGGAAAGUCCUAGGCUCUGUGGUUUAACCCACAGCGCCACCCGCGUCCCUAACAAGAGGCUACUUUGGUAGAAAUAUUUAUUGUAUAUCACAAGAGGUCUUGUGGAAGCAGACAUAAGCAUUUGGAGAGAGACUCUGGCCACAAGGUUAUUCUGCUUUGAAGAGAGAUUGUUUAUCAUAUAAUAAGCAAUUUAGAAAUUAGGAGAAACAUUAAGCUACAGUGAGCACUCUCUCUGGCAAUGUGAUCCCCCCCGCUUUCUUGGCCUUUAUUUUCUUCCAUGACUAAAAUGUGCCUUUUCAUGAAUUUAUUGGCAACAAACAACAUGUGAUUGCUUGGGGGAUGGUUGUUUAAGGAGCUGCCACAAUUUAUCAAUUAUUUUCAUUCACAACAGCCAAUUGUAUUAAAGGAUGCGCCUUAUCAGCCUGGGCAGUGUGUAUGGAGGUCCUGAGCUGCCCAGACGACAAGACUCUCAGCCUCAUUGAUGUGGUCUGAAGGAAAGCAGAGUAAUACAUUUGGCAUGAGCUGGGCUGCAGGAAUUGUUGUAAGGAGGUAUACAAGGUGCAAUCCAAGUUUUAGGAACUCCACUCUGGAUGUGUGUAGAGUUUACUCCUUAGGGAUGCGGGUAGCGCUGUGGUCUAAACCACUGAGCCUCUUGGAGUUGCCGAUAAGAAGGUCGGCGGUUCGAAUCCGUGUGACGGAGUGAGCUCCUGUUGCUCCGUCCCAGCUCCUGCCAACCUAGCAGUUCAAAAGCACACCAGUGCAAGUAGAUAAAUAGGUACCACUGUGACAGGAAGGUAAACGGCGUUUCCGUGCACUCUGGCUUCCAUCACGGUGUCCUGUUGCGCCAGAAGCGGUCUAGUCACACUGGCCACAUGACCUGAAAAGCUGCUUGCGGACAAAUGCUGGCUUCCACGGCCUGAAGCAAGAUGAGUGCCACAACCUCAUAGUUGCCUUUGACUGGAUUUAACCAUCCAGGGGUCCUUUACGUUUUUUACUCCUUAGCCUUUUCUUCUCCCAAAGAUGUCCCACAAGGCAGGAGGUACAGAUUUUUCCUUGGGGUUUACUCCUGAAACCUUUCUUGAGUACAGUGGUACCUCAGGUUACAUACACUUCAGGUUAGAUACGCUUCAGGUUACAGACUCUGCUAACCCAGAAAUAGUACCUCAGGUUAAGAACUUUGCUUCAGGAUGAGAACAGAAAUCGUGCUCCGGCGGCGUGGCGGUGGCAGGAGGCCCCAUUAGCUAAAGUGGUGCUUCAGGUUAAGAACAGUUUCAGGUUAAGAAUGGACCUCCGGAACGAAUUAAGUACUUAACCCGAGGUGCCACUGUAUAGGCACGAGGCAGCAGAGGUUUACUAUCAGCAUUUUCCUUCUCCUAGAUGGCCUCACUUCUCAAGUGGAUGAGCCUCAUCUGCCCCUCACUUCCCUCUACAGCACGUGCAGUAACCACUUUGUUGACCAUGGGUAGGCAAACUAAGGCCCAGGGGCCGGAUCCGGCCCAAUCGCCUUCUAAAUCUGGCCUGCAGACGGUCCGGGAAUCAGCUUGUUUUUGCAUGAGUAGAAUGUGCCCUUUUAUUUAAACUGCAUCUCUGGGGUAUUUGUGGCCUCUGCCUGGUGUUUUUACAUGAGUAGAAUGUGUGCUUUUAUUUAAAAUGCAUCUCUGGGUUAUUUGUGGGGCAUAGCAAUUCGUUCAUAUUUUUUCUUCUUCAAAAUAUAGUCCGUCCGCACCCCCCCCCCCAAGGUCUGAGGAACAGUGGAGGGAAGUUUGCUGACCCCUGUUCUUGACGUUUGGAUUCAGUCUUGGUCUCGUCUGCUCAAUCCACCAGAGCCUGUCUUUGCAUGCAGAUCAAGCCGUUUUUUGUUGCUAAGGUGCGGAAGCGAGAGCCAGUAAAAAUGUGGUCUAGUCUUCCGUCUUCCAGAGAACUGAGAGCAGCAAAAGAGGGCCUUCUCCAUGUACCCCUUAGGAGGAGAGGCAUUCUCCCCAGUGAAUCUAAAUUUUAGGUUCAGAUGUUACUUUAGGACUUCUUUUUAAUUUACCCAAGGAUUUCACUUGGCUUUGUUGCAUGGUGGCAAAGCUGGUGUUUAUUUUGAAUGACAUUAUCCCGCUUCUUUAUAGUCUUGCUUUUACCCUUCUUCUGUUUGCUGUUUUUGCUUUUUCAUAUUUUGCUACGGUUUUAAUCCCGCUGCUGAUCUCAUUUUAUGAGUUAUGUUCAAAUGCUUUUUUAAUACAAUUUUUAUUGCUUGAUUUGUGCACACAUGUGGGGAUGCACACAGGUGUUCUCUGCCUCGUACAACAACUUGGGAGUUUUAGAAAAGUGGAAAAGGUGAUUUCUACAUUUUAAUAACAUAAAAAUUCAAGGCAGCCCAUUUAGGGCCAGUGCAUAUCGGAGGAGAAAGAGCCCUGGAGACUUAUGGAGCCUACAGUAAUGAUCUGUUUCAAAUUUCAAAUUGAGCUUCUGCACAGGGAUUCUAAUCGUAAAUUUCCCUGAAAAUACACUUCUAAAAUUAAUAGUUAAUGUGCGGGCGGUCAGAAUUAGUGGACACAAACUAGGAUCAGAAUCAAGUUGCACUAUUUUUACACGCAUAUUUUUUUUAGAUUCAGUUACGAUUUACAAAUACAAAUAUAAUUUGAAUCCUAAUUUGAAUACAUAAUAUCAUGAUAUAUGAUUUCAUAAUGUGCCUUAUUAUACAUUUGUAUAAUUAGAAUUAUAUCUUUUUUGUACAGUGGUACCUCAGGUUAAGUACUUAAUUCGUUCCAGAGGUCCGUUCUUAACCUGAAGCACCACUUUAGCUAAUGGGGCCUCCUGCUGCCACCGCGCCGCCGGACCACGAUUUCUGUUCUUAUCCUGAAGCAAAGUUAUUAACCCGAGGUAAUAUUUCUGGGUUAGCGGAGUCUGUAACCUGAAGCGUAUGUAACCUGAAGCAUAUGUAACCCGAGGUACCACUGUAUUUGCUUUGCUUCGUGCAACACACACACACACACACACACACACACACACACACACACACGGCCCCUUAAGGGGCAAAGCAGUUGCUUAAGUUUGGUUUCACUUUUCUUUUUGCUUCUAGCAGUGAAGUUAACACCCAGGCAGGAAUCAAAAGAAGCUUUGCCUCCCACUGACUGGCUGUUCUGCUGGGUGUUUGUGUCGAAUGACUACAAAGAACCAGUGAAGAUUUGCAAAGGCUUUUUGCCUUGCGUUUAAAACUAGGCCGUCUAGUUAUGUGGUAUCCCCAUAAACUUCCCUGCCACCCUUUUACAGGAAUCCCAACCCCUUCGCGCAACUGCGAGGUGGCGUUUAAAAAGUGUGGGACCACCACCCAUUAAAGCAUUAACUUCACUUAAGCCCAUUUAUGUGAGCCGGCCUUAAGCACGUUUCACGACUCUGUGGCUGGGGAAUUUGGAAACGCAGUCAGCCAUCUGCGGAAUAGAAAUCUAUUAGUGGUUUAAAAGCAAUUUUUGCAAAGAGCUCAAAUAGAGGGGAUGGUGGGAGUUUUGUCUGUUUGAAUGUACAGCUGCCACUAUCGUGGAGAAAGGGGGGGUUGACUUGUUUUAAGUAAAAUGGGGUUAACUGUCCCUGCCCCCAGUUCCGUGGGACAUUCACCCUCCCUUAGGAAGAUGAAACAGGAAGAUACUUAGUGUUUUUUCGGGGCGGGGGGGCGGGCAGUUGAAUUAUAAUACAGUGGUACCUCGGGUUAAGAACUUAAUUCGUUCUGGAGGUCCGUUCUUAACCUGAAACUGUUCUUAACCUGAGGUACCACUUUAGCUAAUGGGGACUCCCGCUGCCGCCACACCACCGCCGCACGAUUUCUGUUCUCAUCCUGAAGCAAAGUUCUUCACCUGAGGUACUAUUUCUGGGUUAGCGGAGUCUGUAACCUGAAGCGUCUGUAACCUGAGGUACCACUGUAUGGGGGGGGGCAAUCUGUUAAAUACAGUGGUACCUCAGUUUAAGAACAGUCCUGUUUACGAACUAUUCGGUUUACAAACUCCGCAAAACUGGAAAUCGUGUCCUGGUUUGAGAAUUUUACCUUGGUCUAAGAACGGAAUCCAAACUGUGGAAGGGCACCGGCGGCGGGAGGCCUCAUUAGGGAAAGCGCGCCUUGGUUUAAGAACGGUUUCGGUUUAAGAACAGACUUCCGGAAUGGAUUAAGUUCAUAAACUGAGGUACCACUGUAAAAGCUAUUGACCUGGGAUAGCUCAGUUGGGAAAGCAUGAGACUCUGAAGCUCAGGAUUGUGGGUUCAAGCCCCAUGUUGGGGAAAAGAUUCCUGCAUUGCAGGGGGUCGAAGGCCCUCAUGGUUUCUUCCAACUCUGCAAAUCUAUGAUUCAAUGACUGUUGGCAUUCCAUGGGAUCAAUGUAAUGUCAUGAGACCAUAUAACACCGGUCCUGAAAGAAGCUACAUUGGCUCCCAGUACGUUUCCGAGCACAAUUCAAAGUGUUGGUGCUGACCUUUAAAGCCCUAAACGGCCUCAGCCCUGUAUACCUGAAGGAGCAUCUCCACCCCCUAUUGUUCAGCCCGGACACUGAGGUCCAGCUCUGAGGACCUUUUGGCGGUUCCCUCCCUGCGAGAAGUGAGGUUACAGGGAACCAGGCAGAGGGCCUUCACAGUAGUGGCACCCGCCCUGUGGAACGCCCUCCCUUCAGAUGUGAAGGAAAUAAACAACUAUCUGACUUUUAGAAGACGUCUGAAGGCAGCCCUGUUUAGGGAAGUUUUUAAUGUUUGAUGUUUUAUCACUUUUUCACUAUUAUUAUUAUUAUUAUUAUUAUUAAUAAUAAUAAGGUAACACUGUUCCCAGAGGCAUGAGGGAGAGAUGGAAGCCCUCUGUUUUUAAUUGCAAAAGUGAAGCACCCAUGCAUACCACAGCCGGUGUUAUUUUUCUAGAAAAAGGAAGUUUCGGAACUCACCACAAGCAUUUCUCAUUGCCUGAACUCUGGCAGUGUGAAUGACCUCACUUGGGUGAAAUGCCCCUUGCCAGAAGGGGAUAAAUGGAUAAAUGUGUGCCAGCGCCUCAUUUUGUGUUAAAGACUGGGAGACACACGCGCAGAGAGCCUCUUUCUGUAGGAUUGGGCAGGUCUGUGUUUAAACAGAAGGAAUGUCUCUCCCAUCCUUAAUUUGGUCCUUCAAUAGCUUUGCUUUUCAUUCUGAAGGGCAGGAGGACACAGUGACUUCUCCUGGACAAUUAAUGGGGCCUGUUUUGUUUAAUGUAAUCUGAGUCACACAGGUACAGUCUCUCCUUGAUUUGUCUCCCCUCUCUCAGUCUGCGAAUCCCCCUUGCACAUAAAUAACGGUGAGAUAAUCACAAAGGGGCUGAAAGAAUUCAACAAGUUGCUAUUUGAAUGACUGGCUCCAGCAUUGUUUUUACAGCUACAUGGAAAAUCUGUGUGGUGUGUUUGAUUAGCCAUUCCUUCCAAGUUCAGAGAUACACUCUGAAGGAUAAAAUCAGCCCCAAAGAUAGAAAUUGCUCCCCCCCCCAAAAAAAAAUCAAUAAUUAGGGCUUGAAAGCUUUGCCAAUGCUGGGCAAAUGUGAAUCUAUUGAAUCUGAAAUUUUAAAUUCGUUUCAAAGGCUUUGUUGUUGUUGUUUAAUUUGUUUAAUUUUCUUAGUUUACAAAAUACUGCAUUAUCUCUUUUCUCGGGUUGUAAAGUCUUUUCUAUGUUGUUGAAACUACUGUAUUUUGUUCUAAAAUACUUCUGAAAGAAAACAUUUUUCCCCUUAAAAGGUCGAGCUAGGCUUACCAAAAACAAAUUUUAGUAACAAUUCUCAGUUACAUAUGGAUGUCGAAAGUCUACCGGUAGUUGAAAAUGUUGACUUGUUCUACCAUCAAAAUGCAACUUUUUUUGUUUGUUUUAUUUUUACUGUUUAAGUAUUUUGUCGCAGAAGCUCCAAAUCCAGCAAAACAGCAACAAAAUAUUACCAAAUGGUAGGGUUUUAUUUCAGAAAUCUAAACGGCUUCCACUGUGUGUGUGUGUGUGUGUGUAUGUGUGUGUGAAUGCAAGUUUCAUGGUUGAAAAUGUUCAACAACAUCUACAGUGUCCAAGUGGUUUGCUGAGAAUGCCAUGAAACUGAAAGAUUACUUCCAAAUCACGAGCUCUUUCCCGUUCCCUUUUUUUAAAAAAUUCUGUUUGUUUUUAAGCAUAGUUCAUGUUUUUUUCCUGCACCCAAGUGGCCUAAAAAUGUGAUUUCAAAUCUAACAUGUUUUAUGGAGACAGAGAUGAAUUCGUCGCCUAUGAUGAAAUGUGAAGCAUUGGCCAAUUUGCAAGGAGCACUUGGGUUGGAUGUGAUUAUUAAUUUGGCCUUCAGAACUUGGUUUCGGCCCUCCUUAAUGGGAGCCAGAGUUAUAGCCUUUCUAGCAGUGAUGGCGUCUUGCAGCAUCCCAAGCAACUUUAAGUUGGAAGGUUGCUAUGGCUCUCCAGACGUUGCUAUUUUCAGUGGAGAAAUGUUGAAGAGAAUGAGUGUGCUCACUUGACUUUCCUUCCAACCAGGAGUUGCAAAGCUGCAACGGCUACUUCCUGUUGGUUUGGAAGAAAAUGUUGACUGAGGAAGGUCAAGAUGACAAGUUGAAGGUUUGGGGAGAGGGUCAGAUGAGCAUGUGAGGGACAUGGGGAUGGGGGUAAGCAGCUGCGGAGCAUCUCUCACAUGCAGCAGCUUUCGGAAUACACUGGUGCCUCGGAAGUCGGACGGAAUCCAUUCUGGAAGUCCAUUUGACUUCCAAAACAUUCGGGAACCAAGGUGCAGCUUCUGAUUGGCUGCAGGAAGCUCCUGCAGCCAAUCGGAAGCCACGGAAGCCACAACGGAUGUUCGGGUUCCAAAGAAUGUUUGCAAACUGGAACAGUCGCUUCCGGGUUUGCGGCCUUUGGGAGCCAAAAUGUUCAUCUCGCAAGACUGAUCGACUUCCGAGGUAUGACUGUAGUACUGAGGCUAAGCCUGACAACUUGGGCUGGGGACUCUGGUGUAAAUGUGUGGACUACCACCCAGCCGAACAUGCACGCCGAGUGAAAAACACACCGCUCGCUUCGAAUCAAAACAAUUCUGGAAUCCAAAGCAAACCUCUGGCUUUUGCACAAUAAAUUCUGGCAACUGGUCUGGAGAGCAGGGGAAAAAAUCCACUGGCUGCUUCUCUGUUAUCCCCCACCCCGGGCAGGGCUUGUUGGCAGAUCAGCUUGUUCAUUCUGCCACUAGAAGCUACUCUUUUGCUUAGUGUGAAAAUGUUGCUUGCUUGCUUGCUUUACUUUGACAAAUCGUGAAGGGAUUGUUUGCAGAUGUUGCUCCUUUCCCCAAACCCACCCCUAAUAUGGUUCAGCUCAGGAACUGGGCACUGAAUCCUCCUCCUCUUGCUAUGUGUUUGGUGCAACAGCCUCUAGUGCAGUGGUAGCCAACAAGGUGCACGCCAGAUGUUGGAGCCAUCCCUGACUGCUGGACAUGCAACAACAUCUGGGGGGCACCAUGUUGGCUGUUCCUGCUCUACUCGCUCCAUAAGCUGUGGCUGUUGCAGACCAGAGCUAGCCGGGCAAUGCUCGUCUUUAGAUCGAAUGCUGGUUUUAAUGUUUCCUUGGAGAUGUGCAGUAUAAUUUUUAAGAUGAUGAGCCUGAUUGAGUUUUUAAAGAACAAAUCUGAGACAAGGCUCUAUUCAUAAAAGAUAGUAUGUUCUUCCAGAGGAUAAAUACCAUAACUAACUGAUUUUGGAAUGCCUGCUUCACCACUGCGUCUCAGAAUAGAUGCAAGAACUCUGAGCAGAAACCUGCACAAAUUCUUUCUUUACGUGUGUGCAUGCAUGUGCACAACCACACUGUUUUGAUUAUACAGUGUUACCUUGGUUCUCAAAGUUAAUCCGUUCCGGGAGUCUGUUUGACUCCCAAAACUAUUCAAAAACCAAGGUAUUGUUUCUGAUUGACUUCAAGCGGAAGUUGUGUCGGAUGUUCGGCUUCCGAAAAAUGUUCACAAACUUACUUCCGGGUUUUCGGCAUUCAGGAGCCGAUUUGUUCGACAACUAAGCCGUUCAAGAACUAAGGCACCACUGUAUUCUGGCUUACUAGGGUUGCCAUAUUUCCAGAGGCAAAUAUCCGGACAAAAAGAGUUGUCGAUCUUUUCUGGGACGAUCGCAAGAAAAUAUGCUGAGCUUCUUUGAGGCCAUCGCCCCUCCCCCAAACUGGGCAUUUGCUUAAAAUUGUAAAUAUCCCUCCAGAGGGGCGGAUAGACCCCUCAAAAGAGGACAUGUCCAGGAUUUCCCGGAAGUAUGGCAACCCUUGUCUUCUAGUCAGGUAACUCUCACUUAUUCUGUAGUUCCUCCUCCUGUGUAUUUUGUAGAGAACAACCUGCAUAUAGGUUCUGUGCCAAAGUGUAAAAAACCAAGCGAGACGCAGCCCUCCAAUACACCGCCUGGGAUUGCUCUUAUUUCUGGAGACCUUGCUGGAGUCAAUUACAAAGUCUCAAAAGAAGUCAGUGUGAAUGAGCAGAGCUGCGAUUGGGUCAGAGAGGCCUGGCCUCAGCUAGAUGGCCUAGGGCAUGGGUAGGCAAACUAAGGCCCGGGGCCCGGAUCUGGCCCAAUCACCUUCUAAAUCUGGCGCAGAGAUGGCCCAGGAAUCAGCGUGUUUUUACAUGAGUAGAAUGUGCCCUUUUAUUUAAACUGCAUCUCUGGGUUAUUUGUGGGGCCUGCCUGGUGUUUUUACACGAGUAGAAUGUGUCCUUUUAUUUAAAAUGCAUCUCUGGGUUAUUUGUGGGGCAUAGGAAUUGGUUUAUUUUUUUCCUUCAAAAUAUAGUCCGGCCCCCCACAAGGUGUGAGGGACUGCUGAAAAAUCAUUGACACCCCAUCAUUAAAAUAGUCUCCCAAGGCACUGUGCCAUUAUCAAUGAGCCGGACUGCCUUCCCUAUAGGAAAAGGCAAAAGAGCUUGGGACUCUUUAGUCUACAAAUAGACAUGGGAUAUAAUCAGAAUGUGCAAUUUUCAUUUUCCAAAUGUUAGGAAUCAGACAGGAGAAGAAAUCUUGCCUCCAGCUGCAGUGAACCUCGCUGCUAAUGGCCAAUCCCAGAUUUUUUUAUGGCUGUUGGGUGGCUGGGUUUUACAUCCUCAGCUGUAAUAGAAAUGCGUAUUAUUAUGAAAGAUGUGCAUAGACUAAAGGUAAAGGUAAAGGGACCCCGGACCAUUAGGUCCAGUCGCGGACGACUCUGCGGUUGCAGCGCUCAUCUCGCUUUAUUGGCCAAGGAAGCCGGCGUACAGCUUCCGGGUCAUGUGGCCAGCAUUACUAAGCCACUUCUGGCGAACCAGAGCAGCGCACAGAAACGCCGUUUACCUUCCCGCCGGAGCGGUACCUAUUUAUCUACUUGCACUUUGACGUGCUUUCAAACUGCUAGGUUGGCAGGAGCAGGGACUGAGCAACUGGAGCUCACCCCGUCACGGGGAUUCGAACUGCCGACCUUCUGAUCGGCAAGUCCUAGGCUCUGUGGUUUAACCCACAGGGCCACCCGCAUCCGUGCAUAGACUAGAUGGAGACGAAUAUCCUUUUGCUAUAGCACCAGUUUACUUGCAUGAGAGAAUUAGGUUAAUGAACAAUAGGUUCAGAUCAGACAAAAGGAAGCCUUUUUGCAUACUGUAUACAAUGGGAUGGGAGGAACUUUGGCCUUCUAGAUGUUGCUACAACUCCCAUCCAUCCUAACUGUGAGUCAUGCUGUUUGGGGGUUGACCAGAGUUGGGGUUCAACAUUAUCUGGUUUCCCAUCCCUGGAAACAACAGAGAGACCAGGUCCAGGACCCAAAGAACCUCAUACCUUGGUGGCAGCUUCUUAUGGGUGGAAGGAUUCCCAAUUUUACAUUCCAAGUACAUGCCACUUUGAAUCCUGCUCUAAAGGACUUCUCAACCCUCAGCAGCUACAUUUUGGUUGUUGCGAGGAGCUUCAGUGGGGAGGGAAGGCAAGAACGCCCCAUCAUGUGCCUAGAAUUCUUUGGAUCCGAGCCAUAAUGGAUCUUUGUUUUGAAAAUGUGGUAAAGCUGCAGAUUGGGUUGGCUUUUCAAAAAGGGAUUGGAUACAUCUACAGAGGGUAGGUCUAACAGUGGCUUGGUAGUGAAAUAGGACCUCUGUGUUCAGAAGAAGUGGAACAGUGGCUGAAAAUCACAUGAUUUUCUGCUUCUAAGCUUCCCAGAAACAUCUGGCAAGGGACGGUUGGAAACAAUGUGGAUUGGAUGGUUUCAGACUGAUCCAGGAAGCAGUUAUGGCCUAAUACUCUUUCUGCAUUCAGAAUGCUACAAAAUUGUUUGAUAGCAGCUCUUUCUGCAGUUACUGUUUUUGCAAGCUAGGGGGAUUUGCUUGCCCUCAGUUUUGGGGUCACCACCUAUUUUAGGGAAUUCCUCAUGUGUUCAGAACAUCCUACUUGCUCCCGUAAAUCUGAACCAGGAAACGGUGUUAAGUUUAACCAGGCACAGGCAAACUCGGCCCUCCAGAUGUUUUGGGACUACAACUCCCAUCAUCCCUAGCUAACAGGACCAGUGGUCCCAAAACAUCUGGAGGGCCGAGUUUGCCUAGGCCUGAGUUUAACCAAUCCCUAAUCCAGGAUAGCAAACAAUAAUUUGAUUGCUGGGUUUGUAAAUAUUAGUCAAAUCUAACAGUCACAGGAGAAAGGGGUUUAACAAACCUUAGAAGUACAGUGGAACCUCGUGUUACGUACCGUCCUCCUUGCGAACGCUGCGGGUUAUGAGCUCCACUAACCCGGAAGUAGAUGCCCCUUGUUGCGAACUUUGCCCCAGGAUGCAAGCGGACAUCGCACACUGGCAGCGUGACAGCAGCGGGAGGCGCCAUUAGCGAAAGUGCGCCUCAUGUUACGAGCGGUUUCGGGUUACAAACAGACCUCCAGAAUGGAUUAAGUAACCAGAGAUACCACUGUACAGUGGUACCUCGGGUUAAAUAUGCUUCAGGUUACAUACGCUUCUGGUUACAGACUCUACUAACCCUGAAAUAUUACCUCGGGUUAAGAACUUUGCUUCAGGAUGAGAACAGAAAUCAUGCAGCGCAGCGGCAGCAGGAGGCCCCAUUAGCUAAAGUGGUGCUUCAGGUUAAGAACAGUUUCAGAUUAAGAACAGACCUCCAGAACAAAUUAAGUACUUAACCUGAGGUACCACUGUACAAAAAAGAUAUAAUUCCAAUUAUCCAAAUGUAUAAUAAGGCACAUUAUGAAAUCAUAUAUCAUGUAUUCAAAUUAGGAUUCUUAACCCGAGGUACCACUGUACUGUGUUAGGGUGCAGAAGAGAAAUUAGGCAGGGAAGGGAGGGAAGAGUAGGAAGCCUACACAUAUCACAUUGUUCAUUCCUGGUCCACUAAACCGUAGUUUGUUGGACUGGGAUUCAUAGAAUCAUAGAAUUGGAAGGGACCCUGAGGAUCAUCUAGUCCAACCCCCCAAAAUGCAGGAAUAUGCAGCUGCCCCAAACGGGGAUCUAACCUGCAAACUUGGCAUUAUCAGCAUCACGGUCUAACCAACUGAGCUACCCAGGCUGACAAUUUGUUACAGUAUAUCUGAUCUGAACCAAAGUUUCAUUCUUUAUGAAUCCGGUUAUUCUGGUAGAUGACAGCAUAUUGUAUUGCUUCUCUUCAUAUGGCCUUAAAAAAAAAAAGAAGAUAAUUUUCCACAGUGCAUGGCUCAGAUUGAAGUUCAUCAAAAUAACUUUGUAGAAAAUUUACACCAUCACAAAUUAAUACUGAUUUAUACAACUAUAUAACUCUUAUUUGCAUCUUUCUAGUGGGUCUGCAGGGACGCGGGUGGCGCUGUGGGUUAAACCACAGAGACUAGGACUUGCCGAUCAGAAGGUCGGCGGUUCGAAUCCCUGCAACGGGGUGAGCUCCCGUUGCUUGGUCCCUGCUCCUGCCAACAUAGCAGUUGGAAAGCACGUCAAAGUGCAAGUAGAUAAAUAGGUACCGCUCCAGCGGGAAGGUAAACUGCGUUUCCGUGCGCUGCUCUGGUUCACCAGAAGCAGCUUAGUCAUGCUGGCCACAUGAGGCAGAAGCUGUACGCCGGCUCCCUCGGCCAAUAAAGCGAGAUGAGCGCCCCAACGCCAGAGUUGGUCACGACUGGAGCUAAUGGUCAGGGGUCCCUUUACCUUUACCUAGUGGGUCUGCACGGCAGUAAAGUAUAUCUAAACAAUUCCAUGAUUCCUUUGAUUAUUAAAUACUGCUACUACAAUCAUUUAUUUUUUUACAGGCAUUAUACUGCCCUGUCGUGGCACUUUUAAGGACUGUUUUCUCUCUUACCAGAAGCAAUAUAAGUGAGGAAUAGUGGUGAUAAUCAGUGGUGAUAAAAGAACAAUGGAACCCAAAAGAUGCAAUUGCAGCUGUGGCAUCCCAUUUACUUCAGUAUUUGAGUCUAGCCACGUCCUGCCGCUACGCAUGCUGUUAAAAGUGUGUGGUGUUUAAUGAAGCAAAUUAAACUUGAUAAAAGCACAGGUGAGCUUGAUUAAUUUAUUCAGAUGGUUGUAUUGCAGCGAUGGGCAAGGCAGGCUUUCCCCAUGCCUCUGACACUAGCUUAUAUAGUACAUAGGUAAUUGCAAUAUGGGUGCUUGCAGGAAGGGGGAGGAAAAAAAUCAAUCUGCUCAGAGAACAGUAAUUAGCAAAUACCCUUGGCUGAUUAGUAUGCUCUUGAGCAAGAAACAAACAAACAAACAAAAAUCUUUAAAUUUAACUACAGUUUCACAGCUGAUCAGCUGAGUCUUUCAGAACUCGCAACUUGGCAAGCUGAGUGCUCCUUUCACCAGGAAAGAGAUCCACGUCUCCACUAAAAGGUCCAUGAUGUUAUAGCUAGGGCAACAGUAUUCCUGGAAGCUGCAGUUUAAAGCAAUUUUUGCUUAUAGAAGACAAUAGACAGUGGUGGGUGCUUUGACAUCAUCACCAUCAUCAUCAAAAUUUGUAUACCACCCUAUACCUGCAGGUCUCAGGGAGGUUUGCAAGAUAAAAUCACAAUAUAAAACACAAAUAAUCAACGUAACAAUAAAAACAACAAAAUAACACCCCACCCCUUCUUCAAGCCGUUGGGCAAGCCGUGCUUAAAAACGUCUAGUUUUAGGGCAGACUGGGGUCAGGAAAUCAUAUAUCAAAUAUGAGAUAAACAUAUGACAAAGAACCCAGAUUUGAGGGCUGAGCCAAAAUUGCUGCAAACACCCCCCCCCCAAAUGCCGCUGCAGGUAUUUGCAGGUAGCAAAAUUGAGGGGAUGUCAGAGAAUUCCAGUGGAAGCAGGGAAAGAAAUUGCCAAUGCUUGCUUAUUCAUUCCAUGUCCAGAAGAGAAAUCAAUCCACCAAUUAUUAUUGAUAUUCACUUGUCAGGGACAGGCAGGGCUCUGGGGAGUGGGUGGAUGAGGUCGCAGGGCCAGGGUCUAAUCCCGGGGUAGUGAUUUGUGGGAUUUCGUGUCUCCUGCAAGGCAGAGCUGAAGGUUUUGGGGUGGGGUGUGAGCAGUCAGAGAUGGGAUAGAGAUGCAGGACAGUGGAAAGGAGCAGGAGUUGGAAGAAGGACGAUGGUGGUGUGCGGUCAGUGGACUAGAGGGACUAGGGUAGUACUCUAGAUGUUCCCCUGUGCCAGGCAUGGAGAGUCCUUGUCUCCCUUCGGUAACUUCACAGAUACGAAUUAACGAGCAUUUGAUAUAUUUAUAGUUCUUUUAUUACAGUGUCAGGUUGCAAGCACAAAUACAGUGGUACCUCGGUUUCCGUUCUGGAAGUCCAUUCUUAAACCAAAGCCAUUCUUAAACUGAGGCACGCUUUCCCUAAUGAGGCCUCCUGCCGCCAGUGCCCUUCCACCGUUCGGCUUCUGUUCGUAGACCAAGGUAAAGUUCGCUAACCGGGACACUACUUCCGGUUUUGCGGAGUUCGUAUACCAAAUAGUUCAUAAACAGGGCUGUUCUUAAACCGAGGUACCACUGUACACAGCUCUCCGCAAGGAGGCCAGUUGGCUACUCAAAAUUCUCCUUCUGGCUUCCGUCGCAGUUAAGGCACCAACAGGAAGUCCCUCCCUCCACCUCCUUUGCUCUCUGAUACGUUCGGACCUCCGAGUCUUUGUGGGGGGAGUCAUCCACACUCUCAAGUGACGUCUCUGCUAGCUGCUUCCUCCCUUCUGGCUCCCUUGUCAUGAUCUUGUAAUUGGGUAACUCCUCCCUAAGCUGUUCAGGUUCUGUCUCUGGCUCUCUGCUUCUGGACACACUGUGGACAAGGUGGGAGACUCUUCCUCCUCCAGCUUUCCAUCGGAGAGAAGCUAGUCUGCCAUACAAUGCAUUCCCCAGUCCUUGUCUUCAGAGAGCCAGUGUGGUGUGGUGGUUAAGAGUGAUAGACUCGCAAUCUGGGGAACCGGGUUCGCGUCUCCGCUCCUCCACAUGCAGCUGCUGGGUGACCUUGGGCCAGUCACACUUCUCUGAAGUCUCAGCCCCACUCACCUCACAGAGUGUUUGUUGUGGGGGAGGAAGGGAAAGGAGAUUGUUAGCCACUUUGAGACUCCUGAAGGGGAGUGAUAAAGCGGGAUAUCAAAUCCAAAUUCUUCUUCUUCUUCUUCUUCUUCUUCUUCUUCUUCAGACUAUUCCCUGACACCCAGGUGCCUCCUUCCCAAAGCCCUGGAAGCUUCUGCCCAGCUUAAGGAGAGAGCCCUCCCACCACCUUCCCAAAGCCUGCCCAGUUUUGAGAAGGAGGCAGGAGGGCUCAAGCAUCCUCUCAGAGGCCUGGCAUAUCCGGAGCUGUGGUGCAAAGAUCCCUCCAGCACCGCCGCCCCCUUUCCCAGAGUUUUUUUAAGGGCUGGAAGGCAGCUCCUCUGGUGGGGAAGAGGUGGAGGCUGGACGUGGCGCCUCCUGGCUCAGCUGGCCGCUUUGUGCCGCAGUGGCCACGGCAGGCAACACACCGAGUAAGCGGGCCUACGCUGAGCAAGCAAGGAUGCGUGCACAGCUCCCUCCAAGCAUUGGCUCAGUUUUUUCCUUUUUAGCCUUCUGGCGCCCCGCAGAAUUCGGCGCCUGGAGGCUAAAAGGGAAAAAACUGAGCCGACAGUGGGAGCAGCACACAUACCGUCUCCAGCUGUUUUUGGAGUGGAUGUGUCAGGAGCAAAGUGGGGGGGGGGGGAGAGACAGUGACUAAAGCAGUGUUUCCCAGCCUUGGGUCUCCUGCUGUUUUUGGACUACAACUCCCAUCAUCCCUGACCUGGCCUGCUAGCUAGGGAUGAUGGGAGUUGUAGUCCAAAAACAGCUGGAGACCCAGGGUUGGGAAACCCUGGUCUCAAGGGAGGAGGCAGCAGCAGCAUCCCACCCAUCCCUGCCCCCAUCAUCAGGAGGGGCUCAAAGAGACAAGCACAGCGACUACUUACCUGUAGGAGAAGUCACAGGUUGCUUGCCAUCAGACGAGGUUUGCGUGUGGCUCCAAUGGUCCAGCUCAGGGCUCAAGUCUGGGGAAGAGUUCCAGCCACCUGGUCACCAGAAACAUGUGUGUGCAUAUUUACAUUCAGGGGCUCCUGUAAGUUCAGGCUUUGUCAAUAAAGAAUUAAACUAUCGGCCGUUUCUCCUCCUUGGGCUGGGUGUGCUCAGGACACUGCUGUUCCUUUGUUUUCCUGUCUGCAAACAACACCGUGCAUUUUCUCUGUUUGCAUUUGCUUUUCCUUUGCCGAAACAAAUGGCGCAGAACAAUAUAACAGCAGUGUAACCAAUUCAGUAAAUAAUUAUAUAAAAUGAUGCCACAGUGAGACAAAUAGUAUACCGUAUUUUUUGCUCCAUAAGACGCACUUUUCCCCUCCUAAAAAGUAAGGGGAAAUGUGUGUGCGUCUUAUGGAGCGAAAGCAGGUGGGAGGCUCUGCUCAGCACUCCCUUUAAAGAGCUGCGCCUAGCGUGUGUGCGGCUCUUGGGGGCUUUUCCGCGAAGUGGGAGAAGGGACUGACAGGCUGCCCUUUGUCCCUUCCCACACCUCCCAGAAAAGCCAGCAAGAGCUGCUGCCAGGCUCUGCUCAGCGCUCCCUUGUAAGGGCUCCCUUUCGUUGCUCCUCCCACUUUGCUGGGAAGCCAACAGAACAAGAGGCACUCUGCAGCUAUCACUCUUGCUCUGCUGGCUUCAGCAAGAGCUGCACAGUUUGCUCUGCUGGCUUCUCAGUGAAGCGGGAGGAGCGACGGAAGGUUUUAAAGCAAGAAAAGCGAUAGCCGCUUACAUGCUUUGCGCAGAAUAUAUUUUUUCUUGCUUUCCCCCUCUAAAAACUAGGUGUGACUUAUGGUCAGGUGCGUCUUAUGGAGCAAAAAUACGGUAGCUCUUCUCAGAAGUGAAACUGCAGCGGAAAGGAAACAGCGCUGCGUGCGAUGAGCAAAGGCUGGAACACAAACCAAUGCCUUCUUACAUCCCCAGGACUGCUGGAAGUUACAUGCAAUGUGGACACUUUCAGCAAUGUUUCGAAUGUAGAGACUCACAUAUAGUUUGGGCCUCUGGGAGGCUCACAGUAACAGCAACCAAGAGAUUCAUGUGCAGGAAAAAAGAGUAGUGUUUCCUAGGAUAGUUCAGUCAGGAGAGCAUGUGACUCUUAAUCUCAGGGUCUGGGGAUCGAGUUCCACCAUGGGCAAAAGAUUCCUUCAUUACUGGGGGUUGGACUAGAUAACUUGUGUGGCCCUUUCCAACUCUAUAAUUCUAUGAUUUUAUGAUUCUAGUAGUCUACCUGUUUGUUUGCUUACUCCAAGGGACACACACAUAU
rnacentral:lncRNA from 1 species